AGGAGGAACAGUUGCCUCAGCACGUCUGCGCAGCUUUCCUUGCGGCGCCCCUCCGCGUGGUCUAUGAUGGUGCAUUUUGGUCCAGUCAGGCCCGGUGUGGUCGGCCUCAUUUUGGAUUACUUCGGUGGGCUUCUCCUCGGCGUGGUUACGGUCUAGUACACCUUAGUGUGCUUUUCUCUGCAUGGUCCUUCCCAGCGUGGCUCGUCUCAGCAGCGUGGUUUUCAUCCGUGUGAUCGUCCUCUGCAUGGUUUUUCACGGUGAGGUCAUAUCAGCCAGCCACCAGCCUCAGCAUAUUUGUCCACAGUUCUUUUGGAGCUGCCUCUGCUCGGAUCACUUGAGCACUACACCUCAGUCCCGACUAGCCAUCCUCAGUGUGCUUUGCUCAACGCGAUCCUCCUCAGUGUUUGUCCUGAGCCUAGACCUCCAUGGUGAGGUCUUAUCUUGUUUCGUCAUGGUGGUCGGCGAUAUGGUCCGAUCUGCCUCAGCAAUCGGGUCACUUCCGUGUGGAUCGUUUCAGCACGGAUCACUCCAGCGCGGUCGGCUGCCUUGGCGCGAUCCACUUGGCUUCUCAGCAUUUUUUUUUUAGCCUGCUCGGUUCUCUCAGUUUUUCUUCAACACGCUUCUUUUCCCUCUGUGUGAUUCUACUUGGAGAGCUUUUCUGUUCAGCUUGGUUCCCAGCGCUUCUUUUUCUCGGCAUGGUUCUCCUAGGUAUGGUUUUUUUCUCAGCGCGGGUUUCUUCUCUGAGUCAGCACGGCACAAGUCGCAAGUCCGCGUGGCCGCGCUCAUCAUAGCCUCCCCCUCCUCGCGGCAAGCACUCACGGCCAGAAGCAGAGGUGAUUCGUGCCGCGCUUUCGCGGCUGGGCUCCAUCUUCGUUUUGCCGCAGUGGCUCCGUAUUCGUUUUGCAGUUACGGCUCGGUCCUCGUUUCACGGCCGGUCCUCGUUUCACGGCCGUGGCUCAGUUCUCGUAUUUUGCGUCCACGGCUCCAUCUUUGUGGCCCAGGCUUACAGAAGCAGGGGUGGUCUUGAGGCCCUUUGAGCCCCGAGGUCGGUCGAGUCCCAAGGUGAGUGGCCUAGGACACCGGCUCAGGCCUUCGGAUUCUAAACCCCGGGCCGAGUCAGAACGCACUGGAGCUGAAACCGAAUCGGGUCUGGAGACCCCUGAGCUUUGUAGCCCCGUGUGGCCAGCACCAAGGUAGUGAGUGGAGUACGUGUUGUUAUGUGGUAGCUGUUUUAAUGCUGAGAGUGAGGGGCUCCGGUUCGGAAUGUUCGCGCAUGGUGGGGGAAGGGUAUCGUGGAACUGAGGCUGGGGAAGGCUGCUUAUUCGGAGUUUUGAACCGAGUUGUGAUCUAGCUCUUGGAUCCGAGUUGGGUGUGUGUAUGUGUGGGUCUACAGUGGUUCCGAGUCUAGAGUAGAGUCACGAUUGGAAUCGGGUAGAGAUUCGGGUCUGGAGCCGACUCGGAAUUCAGGUGUGGGGGAUUGGGAACUUGGGGUGGAGGCCGCAGUGGUUGCAGUGGGUUCUUAACCUUCCUUGUGCUUUGACCCUUUAAUACAGUUACUCAUGUUGUGGUGACCUCCAACCAUAAAAUUAAUUUCAUUGCUACCUCAUAACUGCAAUGUUGCUACUGUUAUGAGUCAUUAUGUAAAUACCUGUGUUUUCCGAUGGUCUUAGGCGAUCCCUAUGAAAGGGUUGUUCAAGCCUAAAGGGGUCAUGACCCACACGUUGAGACCUGCAGAGUCAGAAUCAGGUCUGAAUUGGGGGGAAUAGCAGAACUGGGAGUUACCUCCAGAUUUUCAGUUGGGAUUUGAUUCUUUUCUGUGGUUUUAAAUUGAGAUCCCAGAGGCUCAGGUCUCUGUUGGGGACCAGACUGAGGGUUUCUAGUUAUAUUCAGGACCUGACUGGGCAGUACAGUAAGAAUUAAAGUUGGUUUUGAGUGUGAGCACAAUGGUCUGAGGUAGGGAUCAGGACUGAAGUAUAAAGAGUCUGGUUUUUAACAAGUGGGAAUCACAUUUUGAGACAUGGGGUCCCCAUGUGGGUCAGAGUUGAUUUAAAGGACCAAGGCCAGGGCCCAAACCUUAGGCCUCCAUUUUGUUGUUCUUGUUGGUCACAUUCCCUUUUCUGUAAAAUGGGGAGGAGUGCUUUCCGCUGUAACCUUUCUGGGCAUAAAAGGGAGUAAGUAAUUCAUAGAGGUAAAAAUAGUCUUAUCUUAAAUGAUUAAAAAGUGUAAAAUAUUUCUCAAUAGUAAUAAGGACAAAUAAUAUGCAUUUAACAAUCUUUUCUCAUACCGUGUGCCCUUUGUUAGGCACUACCAAAAAGGAACCUUUUCUGUUCUGUCCCCUAGAGCUUGCCCCACCCAGCCAUGGGCCUAAUACACAGCCAUCCUCAGGCAAUACUUGCUGAAGGAAAGCAGGCAGGCAGGAUUAACCAGAUUUCUAUGGUGUCUUAAAUGAUCCAUUUCUGCACCUGUUUUCCAGAUACUAGGAGAAAAAUUUAAAGGAUUGGAUUGCUUGAUUAUAGUUCUAUUUUAAUGUGUUACCAAACACACUGAAGAAAAAAAGUGGAUCUGUUUUGGGAUUUGUGCUCCAGCUAGAAGGAUCUUUUAAAAUUUCGAAUCAGAGCAUGUCCAAAUUCAAAUAAGGAGAGCACAAAUAAAGAAAAUUAUGAGGCACUUCCCUGGUGAACAUAGAUGAAGGUCCACUUACAGUAUUAACUAACUGAAUCCAAGAGAAUUUUGAACAACAGUUCUUAGACAAGUAGGAUUUCUCCUUGGAAUAUAAAGAUGAUCCAAUAUCAGAAACUCUAUCUGUGUAAGUCACAGUAUUAAGAGACUGCAGGAGAAAAAACAUAUGGUUUUCUCAAUAGAGGCAGAAAAUUUACAUGAUGAGGUUUGACGCCUAUGUAUGCAUUUGAGGGGGCUGGAAGGACAUUACUUAGGAAGCCAAAAACUAGAAGAGAAUUUCCCUAACUUGAUACAGUGUAUAUCCAAAUUUAACUUUUAAGUAAACUUAAAAACUAUUAUUCCUGGUAAGUUAAGGAGCUGGCCAAGGGCAUUUUCCUAGCCACCUCCUAAUAUAAGGAAAAGAAAUGGAGAUGUAAGACUUCCGUGGCAGGAAGAGCGAAACUAAUGACUUAGAGAGAAUAGUUGUAUUUGCAUUGGGGUUUGCAAACAUUUUGAUGUUACAAUCUUUGUGUACUUAAAAAAUUAUUAACUCCCCCUCCCCACAUUUAUUUAAGAUGGACUAUAUUUAUUGGUAGUUACAGUCUUAGACAUUAAAAUUAUGUGCUUAAACAUAGAGCUGUAUAAUGGUAUAUUCCAGUGAGGUCAUAUCUCUGGAAAACUCUGACUUUGUGAGAAUCAAAAUAGAGACUGCAGAUGAGUUAUGGGCGUGUUUAUUCCUCAGACCAUCUGGGACCUUUCCUGGGAGGGUCUGAGAAGGCUUCUCAGAAGUUUCUUUGGACUUUUCUUUGAAAACUGCUGAACUACCUGAAAGAUAAGGUUUUGCAGCAAAAGAAUUAUUUGGGUAUAUACAGUAUACCCAAACAAACAAAUUUUAAAAACCCCACAUUUCUUUAUAACAAUAGUGAUGUAAAAGAUGUAAGAAGUGCACUCAGAUACAAAUUAGAAUAGCAACGAGAUUGUCUGGUCUAUAGUUUGUUUUUUUUUUAAGACAGUGUUUUUGGGAAAACUGUAAAUUCCCAUUGGAGAUAAAGGAAGGUAUUUGGAUGUGCAGGGACAUUUGUUUUCUUGGAUGGGAAAAUUUAGCGUUAGAAUCCUCAGUAUUUUGCAAAUCUAUAAAUUUAGUUAGAUUGCAGUCAGACUUCUAGCUGGAGGAUUUAACAUCUCUUCCUCAAAAAUGUAUGUGAAAGAGAAAGAUGUACAAAUGCCAAGUGAACUUUGAAAAACAUUCCAUGGCUUAGCAGCCAGAAGGGUGGAGUGACAGAGACCCAGAACAGAGCUCAGUGAGCUCAGCCCCGAGUCUGGGGAAGGUGACAUGUGAUCAAAGUGGCACCACAUAUCAGUGGAACCUCCUUGGAAGAUGUUAAAAAACAAGUAAAAGAGAAACAUCCUGUGAACUCAGAGUCCUUUGAAAGGGGGAGCUCCAAACUGUAAGUAAAAGGUAGUUGCUAUUUAUUAAGAAAAACUACAGAGAAUAUUUUCUAGGGUAGGGUGGAAGUCUUAAGUAGGAUAAAUCUCAAGACUCAAAUUUAUGAACUUGAAUCGGUGCAAAUUAAAGAUUUCUAUGAACCAAGUCCAUCAUGGCCAGUGCCACUAGUUCCAUAAUUGAAAGACAUGACUUGCCUUUUUAUCCCUUCUCAUGCGAAGUUCUGCCCAUGACAAAUUACAAGAUAAUCAGAACACUAAAGCCAGGGAGCAGCAGCUAAGACGACGAGAAAGCAAAUCAGAGGAAAAGGUAAGACAAGAAACUCACAGGAGGGUUACCAGUGAAGAUAUGCUCAAACUGAAGUCACCAGAGAAAUGCAAAUCAAAGUGACAUUUAUUUUUCUUCUGAGAACCCUUAGAAAGUAGGAUAAUGCCAAGUGUUGGCAGAAGGUAGGGAGCGAGACUCCCCGCCUGCCGCAGGUGAGAGGAGAGACCGACACAGACAUUCUGGAAAGCUGGCCAGCAUUUUUUUUCCUCAAAUAAAAUAUUUUAUACCUGCGGCGCAACAGUUUCCCUCCUGAGUAAACAUGCUGGAGCAGUUCUCCCCCAGAACAAGGAGAGGCUGUGUGUGCCUGCUCAGCACAGCAUGGCCUGGGGGUGGUGGGGUGGUGGGCAUUUGGCUCUGGUUGCUGUGGUUAGAAGCAGGGGACUAGAUGUACACUUCACAAGAUGGAGACACAUGGAAACGGUGCUGAGUGACACAGACAGCAAACAGAAGGAGGGUUUCAGUCCCUGCCUUGGUGUUUAAAUUCAAAUUACACCCCUCCCAGACCUGCGCUAACUGGGCAUACUGUCCAUACGUACAAUGAUAUUAAUAAGCUACUCCAGAGCAGCUGUCUGAGUGGAAGGGAGUGGGGGUUACAGGAUGGAGAUAGGAUGCAAAAGCAUGGAAGGAGCAGAGUGGUCCUUUUAAACAGACCCUUUCACAGUAACAAUUUUAUGGGCAGAAGGCUGUGAUUUACUCUGUGUGUUAUGCACCAGGACCCAAGAGCCAAGUAUGAAGAAGUGAAUGUGCACCCAUCACUCGCCUGCCAGAUACCCUCUGUAGACUCCUAUUUCUAGGAACAUCAGCUUUUUACAAGGUUGGCUUGCCCUGAGCUCUGACCAUUUCUUCUUCUCUUGCUGAGCUUGGGCCUCAGCAGCAUUCUUUGUGCACACGUGUUCUAGGUGCAUGCAUGGGUGGGGUCCAGAGGUCAAUGCUAGGUAUCUUCCUCUAUCACUUUCCACUUUCUUUUUUAAAGACAGGCGCUCUCACUGAACCUGGAGCCCACCAUUUUGUUUUGACUGGCUGGCCAAUGAGUCCCCUGGGAUCUUACUUAGUGUCUAUAACCUAGAACCCCAGUCAUGUGCUGCCAGACCUGGAUUUUAUGUGUGUGCUUGGGAUCUGAGCUCAGGUUCUUAUGAUUUCCAGCAAUCACGAUUCCCAGUAAGUACUGUAGCUACUGAACCAUCUCCCCAGCCCAAUAUCAACAUUUUUUUUUUUAUUAUUAUAUCAGCAAAGUAUUCCUCCCGCUUCAGGGUCUUAAGGUUAGCCACUCUGCCUGACUUUUAUUUUCCUGUAAUUCUCAUAUCUCACUGCAAGUGCCUUUUCUAACCUGCCAUAUCAAUUAGUCUCCUCAGCUAAUUGCUACCUCAGUCUCAGAAGCAUGGGCUACACUGUGGUAUUCUUGUUCCUUGGGCGUGUCCACUUAAGUUAGCUGCCUGUCUCCUCCACUAGAAGGGAGGUCCUGGGUGAGCGUGUGUGUCUUCUCUGUAGGGUUAGCACUCUGUAGGCAUCUCACACAUUUCUGGUCAGUGGCUUCAUUGAUUUGUUAAAUGAAAGGAAAGAGCAGGCCAGGAAAGUGUUCUUCCACUUUCAGAAUUCAGUGAGAAAGUAAGUGGUGAAGAUUUCUUAACUGCCACCUUGGUGUUAUUUGGUGAAGGAUGGGGGUUGAGGGGAGAGGGGUGCUCUGUGUUGUAGUAUGUUUCACAGCCUAAAUGGCAUUUACCUAGUCCAAGUAAUCCCCUCACAGUUGUGAUAACAAAACCUGCCUCCCAAGGUUACCACAUAGCCCUUGGGGUGGGGGUGGGGGGGCACUCCCUGCCAGGUCUGCCUUAGACUAGUUGCAAGGAGCUAGAAAGCCUUUCAGCUUUAAACACAGGGUCCUUUAAACACAGCGGACCCUGGCCUUUAUCCUGCAAUGCACUAAAUCCAUGCCCUUAUGGUCCCUAUGAAGACGACCCUGGCCUAUGCCUGUAUAAUAGAAGCACCUCCAUCUCUGCUCAUUGGUGUAAAUAUAUUUUGACAGGUAAUCCUGUCCUUACAAUGCAUGGGGUUCCAUUAAAAUCUUUACAACAUUCUUAAAACAAAUCAACGAACAAACAGAACCCUACUUAUUGUUAUGUUGAUGAAUGUCUUGUCUGCAUGCGUGUAUGUAUACCAUGCAUGUGCCUGGCAUCCCCGAGGACAGAAGGAAGGAUCAAUCCCCUGGAAACUGGAGUUUCAGAGGGUUGUAAGCCGCCACAUGGGUGCUGAGAGACAAAUGUAGGUUCUUUCUACAAGAGCAGUGAGUAUUCUUAGCCACCGAGAUAUCCCUAACCCCGGUUACAACCAUCCUUUAGCUGCAGUGCCUCAGUUGUGAGGCAUUGGCACCUGCAGCUUUACCAGUUUGGAGCCGGCCUGGAAAGAGGCUGGGUUGGGUCUUCUCACAGCUGCCAGUUAGUACAGACUAGUAAGUGGCUCUUGUGAACAAUAGAUCCAGAAGUUUACAGUACACUUAGGAGGAGAAGAGGGUUUGCCUCAGAGAAGGCUGUUUGGGAGAGUAAGUGGGUGGCCUCUAAUACUGGGUUUCCUUUCCCUGUGCUUGCCUCUGAUAUCAGCCUUUGCCAUGGUCCUCUAUGCUGCCUGGCCCCAGAAAGUCUGGGUCAGUGGCCAGAGUCCAGACUCCCAGGGUCCUGAUCAGAGUCUUCAGGAAGGCCUGAGAGAUUAGAGCACAGAACUCUCCUAGCCUCUCCCACUGGGAACUGAAAGCUUCCCUGAGCCUUUCCUAGGGACUGAGACCCUUGUUUGCAAUUUAAAUGUGCCCUCCUUUAUGGAAGAAUCCCAGCUCCUUGAAGAGCCUUGAGCUCACCCUCCCUAGCAGUUGUAGCCUUAGCCAGGGGAAGAAACUGAUCUAAUGGGCCUUUCUCCUAAUAAUGCUAAUUGUGGCAAUUAGGCUCUGCAAUAGAGAAGGGGCAGGGCCAGGCCCACUAGUUUGCCCUUAGCUCAAAUCCAGGCCUUCUUACUCAGGCUGCUGUCCAGGUUAACUAAGCCUGGUGAAGGUACUAAAUAAGCAGAGGUUCAGCAGAGGGUGGUUGAAGCCUGCUGGCUUCCAGGGGCAAUCACAGUGGAUAUGGAUCUGAGUCUAAUGUUCAGUCUAGUAUCCAUACAGGUGACUCUGGGCCUUGCCAUGUGAUCCUCCCAGAAGAGGGUCUAACUGGAGCAUAAAGAUGGUUUGAAUUAAUCAAUAGACCAAUAUCUACCCUUUCCUUUCUCUCUCUCUCUCUCUUUCACUCUCUCUCUCUCUCUCUGUGUGCGUGUGAGAGAGAAAGAGAGAGGGGGGGAGAGAGAGGGAGAGGGUGAGGGUGAGGGCGAGGGCAAAGGUGAGCAGGGGAGGGGGAAAGAAAGAAGAGUGAGCAGGGGACCAUGGAUAAGGGCUUAUCUGGUCUGGCAGGAAGUUAGGUUUUGAAGCAUAUGGCUCUAUGGAUUAAGAAACCAUUCCUCAGUAUGGCCAAUUAGUAGAUCUAAUCCCCUCAACCUCCUAACAUAUACUAAAGGAUCAAUGUUUCUUCACUCUGCAGGGUGGGAAUCUGGUCUAAUGAAACACAGCACAGGCAUAGGCAGCCUGAAUGCUUAGUUAUUCAAAGGUUACACCGUAGCUGACUUUGAAUCAGUAUAUAGUGUCUGCACGGUACGGAGACUUUCCAGGAAGUGAAUUAUGUGUAGGAGGCAGGGAAGUGAUUAUUGCUCCAUUUUAUAGACUCAGCCAUUCCACACAUACUUGUUGAAAGUCCACCAUGCAUUGCACAGCUGUCUCGAGGAGGGAUUUUACAGGAGUCAGGUCACGCCUGUCCUAUGGUGCUUGUGUGUUGUUAUACACUGAAGGGAAUAUUCUUUGAGGUCUGGAGAUAUAGAGAAAGGACUAUUAGGAACCAGCCAGAACCCAUCUGGGAUCCUAGUUAGGCACUAAGACCAAGAAGACACUGUGGAGGAGGGAACACGAGAGAAAGAAGCUAGCUUUCUAAACCUGGGUACAGAUCUUCAGUCCUUGCUUCCUGUGAGGAUCUUGGGUUUGUUCUGAGACCACUGAGAGCUGCUAAGGCUCUAAGUUCCCAUUCCAUUUAGAUCCCAUUCCACUCAGGGAACUAAGUGGAAUCCACCUUUUAAAAGGCUCUUCCUCCUGAGUGGAGGGGAAUGGAGGUUAUCAGAAGGUGUUGUGGCCUCCCAGAGGAGUGACAAUACAAAAGGAGGGAAUGGGUAGAGGGGGUAAGCAGCCUGGCUUGGUAGUGGACUAGUUGGGUCUCAGCUAGGAAAGAAGGCGUUGGAAGUGAUUGCAGGGUUUCAGGUUUACACUACUGGAAGAAUUUUUGUUUGGGGUGGAGCAUGAGUUGGAGGAGUGGAGUAUGAGGUGACAGAUAUGGUGGGUCCAGCUAUUGGAAAGCUAGUUUUUGUCAGUCCAGGAGCUCCUGAUGCUGAGGGAAGGGACCAGCGUAGGGAAAGAAGGGCAGCACUACUUAGUGGGUGUGAAACUGGGUGCAGAGCUAGCAUGGUGACCGGGGAUAGAUGGACAGGAAAGAGGAACCCAUUCUUGCAGAGGUCAUGUGGAGUCAAUGUUCUAGUCUUAUGAGGGUUGGCAGUGGACAGCAACCAGCCUAGAAUGUGCCUCCUGCCAGUAUGACUAUGACACUUGCCUUCCUCUGUGACUAGAGAGAAGGCCUUAUUUCUCAGUGGUUCUGUUUUCUCUCUGCAUUCCUAGAAUCAAGAGUAGCAAAAGAACAUUUCUCCAUAGAAUGUGCAGGGAGGGUCACCUCCCUCAGGAGGCCUCAUCCUUGCUAAAGUAUUUCAUAAUCUUGGAACGAUGGAAAAUCCUUCUACCCAUUUUAAUGCAAAGCCGGGCAAGCUUUAAAAAAAAAAAAAACAAAAAACAAACAAAUGGCCUUGAAUAGGCUGAGAUGAAAAGCAAAGAGGUUGCCAACGCUAGAGACUGGGGGAGGGGUGUGCAGUGGGCAGGGAGAUUUUGGGAGGCUCCAAAGUUAGCAGUUUCUGAGCUUUACUGCUCAAACCUAGAGGCCCAAACCAAACAGAGCAGGUCCAGGGUUCAAGGUGCAAGGGGGCAACAGCCCUGUGUGGAAGAUGUCUCUUUCUUGUCAUUGUUCCUGAUUAGCUGUUCAAACAGCCUUCACAGGUUCUGCAAAAAAAAUGGUUAACUGUGGGUCCUCUAUAUCUUCUACUUGGUAAUUUUUAAACACAGCUGAGCCCCGGGUGCCCCUCCCAGAGGCUCAGAGGCCAGAGGCCAGAGGUCAGCACAAACUCUACACCACGUCUGCCUAGCCUUUACCUCAUGUGUCUAGGAAUGAUGUACAUUAGAGUAGAGGCUCUGAUACCUCCCUCGCUCAGGUGCCAGAUCAAGGCUUCAUCCUCUGCCCUUUGCCCAGGGUUUAGUGGGGUUUGCUAAUAUUACUUAAUUCCUGAAUGAACCUUUCAGGUCAGCAUAAAAGAGCUGGGAUUGUAUGGCAAAACCCGGAUGGGGAAGAUGGCUCAGACUGUUAAAAACAAGCUCCCAGCAGUGGGAGGGAAGCACCCCCUCCUUGAGGCCUGAGGUCAGUGUUCCCAUUAAUCCUUCUGCCAAGGGAUAUGUACCUAAAGGUUCUAGGGUCACACCCUAUCGGGACUAGCCAUUCGGGACUUCUGAGAAAUGGCAUUUGAUAGCUACAUGUACUGCCACAACUGUACACAACCAAGUCACACACAUUCAUCCUGUUCCAAGCCAGGGCCCAAGACUGAGUCUCAUUCCCGUUUUACCUUCUCUUAGCCUGGGUGCCUCUACCUUGUAAUAGAUGCUGAGACCUACUUAGACCCCAGGACUGUGCCUGACAACCAAAGAAGCCCACCUUCUGGUGUCACCCACCUCACCCUAGCUCUCUGUGAUUCCAGCUUUUCUAAGGAAGGCAGGUAGCCUCUCAACCAGUCAUAUGCCCCAUGCCAGACAGUCAUGCCAGCCGCUCCAGUGCUCGUUAACUACCUUUAGGCCUUGUGGACUUCAUGUUCUAUGGAUGCGAUUUAGUACUCCCAAGAGCACCACAAGAAAGGGGAUAGCAAGCAAGAAGAAACUCAGCCACAUAGAAGGACUUGUUUGAGGCCACUGGGUGCCUGACAAGAGUCCUGCCUCUGGGGAAACCAGUGCUCCAUGCCUGUAACCUUGACAGAGUGCUCUUGGAUUUAUGUUUUCAUAGAAGCAGUCUGUGGAGGGCUAGAGAGGCAGCCCCUGUUUUCCUGGGUCCCUGCUUGGGAAGUCACAGCUAUCACUGUUGAGAAAGGCAGCCCAGGUUUGGAGCAGUUGGAGGCUAUCCCAAGAGUAGGUUGGAUGUAGAGGUGUGGGUGCGGAUAAAUGCCAUCCUGGGUAAAUGGAAAGGCCACAGGCCACCGUGAUAAGGUACCACUUCCUCUUCCUGCCUGGUGGGCUGCUUCAGUACCAAAAUGUCCGGCCACUAACUUGGUAUAAACAAAUGGGUGUGAUCCAAAUGCAAAGAACAGAUGCCCCUAGCCCCCACUCCUCCUGCCCUGAUUUUCCUCAGUGGGCUGUAUGUCUCCUCUCCAUUCUGUUUCUAAGACCACCUAAACAUCAAGAAUCUGGAAAAUAGCCGCUACAGCAAAUGUUUAUAUUCUUCUUGGUUUGUCAUUCAUUCUGUUCCUCCCAGAGAGGCCUAAAUGCUGAGAUACUGGGCAGAGGGCAAGGAACAGUACUGCCCUCUCCAGAGGCUGCCAAGAGACAAGGCUGUAGUUGUAGUCUUUAGGGCCAUCAGCCCUACAUGAUGCUGUCCUCCUCAUUCCCUUUUUCCUAUGGGUGGGCUUCUUCCCAUGGGCCACUUCUACCCAAAGCCAUGUGAAAGGCCUUAAGUUCUAGAGGGAUAACCUGAGGGUGGCACUGAGUUGCAGGGUGCAAUGAGAGAUUAUUGCAAGGCUGGUAGAACCCUCCAUCUGCAGGGCUGACUUCAAAGCUGCUGCUGGGCUUAGCCUGCUGCAUCAAAGUCAGCCAGUUAAACAGUUUUCACAUAAAAGGGAGAGUGGAGGGUUUAAAAGCCUUCCCGUGAAGACAGGCAGGCAUUCCACCCUCUUCUCAGGCACAAGAGCCACUAGAGGAGAAAGUAACUGCCCCUUAAAGACACAGAAAUCACCUUACACCCUGGUUUAGGGUUUGAAGACUACAGCCUUAGUUACAAGCGUAGUGAGGCACCUGUGUGGAGGGAUCCUCCAUUUGCAUUCAGCUCCCUGCUUUAUAUCUGGCCUUGUAUUUUGCUUCCCUACCUCCAGCACCUAUGUUUUUGGGGUGGGGGUGGGGGCAGGCUAUCUGGCUGUCGGGAAUAAGGAGAUGUAUGGUAUGACAGCCCUGAGGGAACUCAGAGUCAGGCUGCUCAGGUUGGAUUCUAGCUUUUAGUCUAAACAAUGGCUUUAUACAGUGCCUUUCUUCCAGUCCUAGCAGCCUUGUGUGAAUACAUUUAGAGGAGACCCUCGUUCAGCCUCCCCAAGAACUCUCUGGGAAGAUCCAGGAGACUCUACCUUGCUCUCUGUCUCCCCACUUCUGCCUUCCUCUUUGCCCCCCCUCCCCCCACCGUUGGGUCCCUUGCCUGACUCCAGUAUACUGUGAUGGCAGAAGUACCAAUGUCUCCUCUCAAGCAGAGCCUAACCCAGCUUGUGCCUUGCAGAGUGCAGAGGGGUGCUCACCCUGCCCUCCUUCAGGGAGACAUCAAAGGGAAACUGGAAGCAUUCCCUGCUGACCCCCAGUGAGUGGGAGAAAAGCAGCAGCUUGGCUCAGCUGGCUGGGCUGGGGAUUUUCCAUCCUACCAACAAUAUCCACAGGAUAGAUACCCCACUCUGGCUUUUGAGGAACCAGGAACCCUCAGGAACCAGUGUUUGAUUUGCAGCCUGAUGGUGCCAUGAAGGGCUCAUUGGCAUUGGGGCAUGGCUAGCCACUUGAGGAGUUCCCUAUCCUCAUGACGUGCUGACAACUGGUUUGAAAUCUUAGCAUUUCUCACCCUAGCAGAAUACUACCUCGAGGUCCCCUGAGAUCUAGCUAGCCAGGGGAGAUCACAGUUUGUGUGGGGACCCAAGAAAGGUAGAGAGAAGACUGCCUGCCUUUUCUCUAUCAGCUGCUUAUCCUCUAGGCCUUUUGUGGAGUGCACACUCCAGCCUCCGUAGCAGCUCAGCACAGCCCAGGCUAUCCUAGACUGUCCCAAGUCCUCAAGGGUUUCAGCACCUCCCAAGCUAAGGGAACAGGAAGUCCAGAAAUAGAAGUCAACAUUUAUGCUAAACCAGGGUACCCUCCCCCCUUUGACUAACAUGGGCUUUUGGCAGCUUCUGGCUCUCAGAUCUCCAUGCACAAUUUGUAGGCUAAAUACUCUACACUACUCAGGAUAUCUAAUCCUGUCCCUCAAGAGUUAGACUGUCAGGUUUUUCUGAGUCACAGCAACCUUAGGCCUGGUAAGUCAUAGUGAGCAUGUUUCCCUCUUCAGUCUAGAACUCACAGGACGGGCCAAAGAGAAUGCAGUAUGGUUUCAAGGAUGUCCAGGGCCAGCAGCACUACCUGAUGAGAUGCUUGCCUGCUCCAUCCUGUCAGGGUCUGGUCACACAACUAGGCUGGAGCAGGCUUAGAGGGCAGGAUUAGACAUAGUGAGAUCCAACAAAGGCAUAGAAAAUAUCAGAAGUGAGAUAGCAAGCCAGGCCUUAGGCUUGUGCUUCCUGUGUUCCUGUCAACGCUGCCCUACUCUAUGAUUAUGGAAAAAGUAGGAAAAAAAAUCUUUAGAGAAACCUAAGUACCAAUGUGACUUUUGUAGCAGACUGAAUUGUGGGAGGCCCUGGUGAAGACAUAAUGAGCUUUGACAUGUGAUUGUGCCUUAGCUGAGGUCUUCUCUCAGCCAAAGCAAGGACUCAGUUGGGUCCCGACUCCCACAAGGCUAUCUUCAAGUACUGUUCUACAGAUGGAGGUGGGGGGCUGUUUCUCAUUUCUGCCAAAGUCACUUAAGGGACACAGAGAAGGUAGACCUGUUGCUUUUCUAGUACCUAGAAGUGGAAAGGUGGAGGUUGGUCAGAAAGCCACAUUUUGCUUCUCAUUCCCACAUGAAAAAAGAUGGCGCUGAGGGUUUACCCAUCUGUUCCUCUAUAUCUUGUCUUUGGCUGGCCUAGGCCCUUAUCUCACCACAUGCCACUCCGAAAAGAGACGGAAAUGACAAGAGUGGGCUAAACUAUUUGGACUGGGUAAAGUCAAUAAUAGACAGUGCCCGAUUAAGAACUGGGAGGACCAUGUCUUCCUAAGUCUCAUGGUAUGCUCCAUUCUUCAAGGGGAGCCAUUCCCGUAAGAGCUGGUGUGACAGAUUUGAAGUGGCUGUGCCAGCUAAUGAGUCUUUUCCUCUGAACCAUGUAGUGAUAGGCAAGGCAAGUUGACAAGGAAGUUCUUUUCAAUUCGAAGAAGCCAAGGCAGUCAUCAAGCUUUGUCUUACCAGGAAAAUGUCAGUGUAUAUCGUUGGCUGUCUGGCUUAGAAGAGGCAACUGUGAAUGAUGGCCAGAGAGAAUCACCUAACACAAUCUGGUUAUGAACACAUUUGGGCCAUGGAGCAAGAGGCUAGCCCUGGAGGCCUAGUGGAUCCACAAGAACCCAGAGAGAGAACAAAGAGGCUCAGGGUCUUAGAGGCUUCUGAUCCACACAGAGAGAGUCAGGAAAGUUAUUAGAGGUGUUCCUUCAGCUAUGGGAACAACAUCUGAGAUGCUGGUACUCCAGGGCAGUGUGUGUGUUGCUGGAUAGCAGGAAGGUUUCUACUGAUGCCUGAGGCUUGCUCUAGCUCAUAAAUCUCCACUUCUCCUUAGCACUGUGAAAUGUUUACUCUGAACUAAGCCUCUGCUUUAACAAGUCAUGUUUCAAUAGGAAAACCUUCGUUGAUGAAAUCGAAUGCAAUUCCUCCUCCUCCUCCACGACAGUUACCCAUUCCUAAGAAAAGCACAGCAUUUUAGCAAGCACCCAGGGCCUCAGGAACUAGCAUUUGCAGACAGUAGUGUGGCAGAUAUGAUGGCCUCAUGUGCAUCAAGGAGAAUCUGGCCUCUAUGUGCCUGGUCUUGCCAGUCCUUCAGACUGACAGUUCUGGAGUGCUCCAUCCUUCACUUCCAGCCCCAUUACCCAUAGAAGCCUUCAGUGGGAACUCUCAGACUUGGUGCUGGUUCAUUCCUAAGACUGGCCUGUUGCUGUGCUUUGGAGUUAGCCUAGCUAGUCCUACCCAGUGCUGAGGGUACACACACACACACACACGUGGCAUGAUCUACCAGCCCUAAGGCAACAGUGUGUUUUCUUUAAACAGUAGAGUAGGUUUCCUGUAUGUACCUAGCUGCCAGAGGUUGCUGCUAUGACCUAGAAAUAGCUGCUGCCCCAAGCCUUGAUCCACAGGGUUUUUUUUUUAAAGAUUUAUUUUUAUUUUAUGUGUAUUAGUGUUUGCCCACAUGUAUGUCUGUGUAUAACAUGCAUACAUGGAACCCACAGAGGCCAGGAAAGGGCACCAGAGCCCCUGGAACUGGAGUUACAUAUUCACAAAACCAAGAUGGUUCCUUCCAUGUGAAACCCUUCUAAGAGAAUCAUCAAAAAUUACUGUAUUUCAUUGGUGCCUACAUUUCUAGAACAGCAGGCAGAAAGGGGUGCAUUGUAGAGAAUGGUGAUAAGAUAGCUUCUGGAGAACUCUGGGGCCCCAGGCCCCAUGGAUAGAACCCUGCCAGGGAGCUUUGAAGCUGUACCGUCCCUUCAAGAUGUUCCUGGCAGGCGGAUUUCUGAGUUUGAGGCCAGCCUGGUCUACAGAGUGAGUUCCAGGACAGCCAGAGCUACACAGAGAAACCCUGNNNNNNNNNNNNNNNNNNNNNNNNNAAAAAAAAAAAGAUGUUCCUGGCAUUAACAGGGUCCAAAGCAGCCUUCCCAGCCCCAGGCUGGGUCCUAGGAGAACCUAACUGAUUGCAUGGGAAACCUCAGUCAUUUACAUAUUCAUUUAUUUAUUUCUUCAUCAAACAUUCACUGAAGGUUCCUGAUGUGCUCUGAGUAGAUUAAGCACAGAAUAUAAAACACUGAAUGGAAGUGGUCAGUAUCUGCCCUCAUGGACCUUGAAUGGAAUUGACAGAGAAAGUCAGUAAACUUGUUACCACAAACAUGCGGUUAUACAUUAAAAAUGAGGGAUGGGGGUGCAGUUCUCCAUGGUUCAGUCUGAAGCUGAGAAAUAGCCUAGGCACGUUUCAGCCUAAAAUCAGCCCUAGCUUGUGAAGGUGAAAGUCAGAGGAGAGCUUAGCACGUUUAAAGAUGACGCCAAGAGAAUGUUACAGGAGCUGGGCACCUUCGGCAGAUCGACUAUUCCCUGGCUUUGUGACCUGGGCCCCAGACUUGAUCACUCUAGUUUCAGUUUAUCUCUAAAUCAGAAAUGAUAGAUAGUAUUCAUAUGUCAGAAGCUGCCGUGAGGAUUAGUGAAAUUAUAUGUAUAAAGCCCUCAGCAUAAUGCCUGAAAACUCUAAGUAGUAUUAGCUCAGGAUUAUUCUUUAGACUGACAUUGUGCUCGGAGUGAGCAUGUUUUCUCCUUAAACACUAGAGUGGUGGUUCUUUUGAAAUACCCAGAUGGUAAAAUCAGGACUCUCCUGUUACUCCUGCCCCUAGGACUCCUUCUGGAUGCAUGGGCAAGCUCUAGUGAGGCCUAGUACUCAGAAGAAAAGAGAAGGCUUUCCUCUACCCAUGCUCAGGAUGUUGUAGAGUUUUCUGGCUUCUUUCGGCUCCAGGAGCCUGUGUCUGUCAUAGAACAGCUUGGCUCAGCCUAGAACCGGCACUCAGAGCUACCUUUUGGAGAUGAGUACAUUGUAUAUGCAUGCAUAUCCAUCAUUUGUGUACACAUUUAUUUGUAGGGCACAGCUAAAAAUCUCCAGAAAUAUCCUGGGGAAGAUAAAAUUCUUUCUAGGCUUCAUGGUAUCCUAGUGGGGACCACCAAAGCCUCACUUCCUACCCAGAGAGUCUGAGGAUGGUAAGGUCAACUGGUUCCAUUGUUUCCAGAGCGCUCACAGAAAUCGCCAAUCUUUAUCUGAGUUAGCUUAGCCCCACGAGCCUUCACAUGGGGGUGAAGAAUGAGUUAUACAACUAGGGGUCCCAGGGUUGGAGAGAUGGACAAAACAGAGAAUGGUUUGUCCUGGAACUCACAGAAGAGAGCAUCCUGCUUCUGCCUCCUAAGUGCUAGGUCUGCAUCUAGUCUACCUUCUGUCAAAGCUAGUGGGCUUCUUUCUAGCCUCCCACCUUCCCUUAACAUAAUAUAAAAGCACAUUCCUUGGAAUCCACCCGUCCCCCAGCAUUGAGAAUAGAAUUAUAGAAUUUUCUCUUUCUCUCUCUCUCUCUUUGUAUGUGUAUGUGUAUGUGUAUGUGUAUGUGUAUGUAUACACACACGUUCUUAAUGACAUUUUCUAAAAUACUGUUGUAAAGUCUUGAAGUAAAAAUUCCACUGGUAGUGGGGCCACAGCGAGAAGAAAAAAAAUUCCAUUGGUGUGUUAAUCUGACAGUGCUACAUAAUAAAAGAACACACAUCUAACAAACCUAUGAUGGCUAAUAUAAAACUCUUACAUAUUAGCCAAGAAGGUCUGACAGUUUAAAAAAAUGUAUAGACCUGAAUUAAGAUCAUAGCAGGAUGCAAAAACAUAUACAACCUGGGUGAGCCUCAGAGGUGGGCAGACGGAGGGCUUCAUUUUCUUUUAAAGAUGGCAUGCUGCUUGGCUCAAUUCAUGUAACAUUGCUAUAAUGCCAUGUGUGGCAGUAUAUGCCUUUAAUCCCAGCAUUCAGGGGCAGGGGCAGGGGCAGGGGCAGGUGAAUCUCUGAGUUUCAGUCAGGGUAUAUAAUGAAACCUUGACUCAAAGGAACAAAUUUCAGUGACGUACAGGCUAGUAAUUGCCAGGGGAUCAGGAAAGUAGGGCUGGAAAGCCUGAGGUACCAUAAAGUGGCUGUACAUAGGGGCCCUUGAGGCCACAGAAACAUUCUGCAUUGGUACUGUACCCUAAGCUUGAUACGUUUCUAUAGUUCUAAGUAUGUUGCUGGAGGAAACUGGUCAAAGAGUAUAGGGAGUCUCUUUGCUAUUGUUUACAGGCAUAUGUCAAUCUGUGGUUACCUUAGAAUGGAGUGCUUAAAAAGUUACAUCUCACUUAAGUCAGUAGUACACUUAAAGAUACCAAGAGGUGAAUUAAAAAAUGUAAGAGGAAGAUGGGUGGGUGGGUAAAGAGUUAAACAAUAUAGAGACUUUCUAGUUCACUUGAGCAUUGGGAACAGCGACUUCUCCUUAUGAAUGGACGUUUUCUAUUUACCAAGGUGAUUCUUCCUUCAUCUAAAAUAUCAGCACAAUAAGGAAGGUUACACACAGGUGAGUUAUGCUAAGUCUUGUGGAAAAUGUGGCAUGUCCCAUGUUUCUGAAGCAGCUGGAGCCACCCCUGUACCUCUGUAGUCUGACCUCACCCCUACCCCCUCAUCAUGGUAGGGCGAUUCUUCUGUCAAGGUGAGAAAGGCAAUGAUUUCUAAGAUUAUGCUCCCAUUCUGAAUAACCAUAAGGGGCUGCAUCUGCCUUGCUUCUGACACUGAUGCUAUUCAACCAGACUUCCCUCUCCACGGCCUUGCCAAGCAUGGAGAAUGUGGGUUGUAGGUGAUAAAAGGUAAGCUGAUGCCUUCUGAUGGAAAAUGCAUUUAAGGAGCACAGCAGACAACCCAUGUCGAACACCUUUCUACAUGGUUCCAUAUUAAUACAUUUCACCCCUGAACAACUCAGGAAGAAUGUUCUUUUAGUAUGAUUUUAUAGACUGAAGGUCUAGAAUGAAGGAAGAAGUGGUGAAGCCUGGAUUAAAAUUUGGUUUAUAGCGUCAGGACCUGCUUUUUGACCAUGUAACAUUUUAGUUGCACAUCCUGAAAUAGAAGCACCAAUCAAGUAGUGGGUGUGGUAUUCCUCCCAGCCGUGGACAAGGUUGGAAAAACAUAAUUGGCCCAGCUGAGAAAGGGACUGAGUCCUUGCUUUACAGAUCAUGCUGUGGAGCCAUUUUUACCUGUAUAGAUUAUAAUAGCACUCUCUGGCGCACCCCCUCCUUUUGGUGACAGGAUUUAGGGGAGAGACUGGGCUAUAUGUUAAGAUUAUGGUACUUUUAAAAGUUUUUUUUUGGGGGGGGCAGGAAGGGCAAUUUCUGGGGACUGAACCCAGGGCCUCCCACAUGUUAGGUAAGUGUGCUGAACUCUACUUGUACUCAAAACCCAAAAGACAAAACCUCUAACCCUUUGCCUUGAAUUACACAUUGUUCUCCUGUUUUCUCCGAAUGUGAUAAAUUGUCUUACGAUGGCCCUAAAGCAUGAUUAGAUAUGUACCCAGAUGGCUCCUGUGUCUGGCCAUAACAUACUCUUUGGAUGUUGCCUUAUGAGGGAGCCUCUAAGAUAAGUUCUCAUGGUCCCUGAACAUGGUUAGCUAUUGAGGACUAAGUCAGGAGUUAAGGAUGUGUGUCACUCAUAGCCAUAGCCAUGCUUAGCUCACAGGCCAGUCUGGGAGCCACUCACUAGUUGAUACAUUGUGAAUGAACACUUCAUGCCACCUGGGUUUUGAUAAUGUACGAAGAAGCCAUGACACACAGAAGGAUAUCUCAUAAAGUUAUAUAAUAACACCAGCAGGACCAGUAUAGUUCUAAGUAGAGCCUGGAAACAGACACAAAAUCAGGAAAUACAAUCAAGAUAGCUGUUAAAACCAGCAGAGCAAAGAUGGUAAGUUUAGUGUUGAAACAACCAUAUAACUGGAAAAUAAGUCGGCUUUUUAACUAUUCCAAAUCCAGAUAAACAAAUAAUAUAAACAUAAAGCAUGAAAUAAAAGAUGAUAGAAAACACAGGAGACUUCAUUAAGACAGUCACACAACGAGCUUAUUUCCAGAUCUGAUACAAACCCCUCAAAUAACCAGACUGAAAGAACUGACUUUGUAAAAAAAAAAAAAGAAAAAAUAUCCAAGAAACAGUGGGAAAAAGUGUUUUUAAUGACCCAAACCAAAUGUUUUAGGUAUUUAUAAAGGAUAAAACCCUCAUGGUGGAGAGAUGGCUCAGUGAGUAAGAGGGCUUGGCAUGCAAACAUGAGGACCUGAGUUAGGAUCUCAGCUCCCAUGUCAAAAGGUGGGUGUAACUGCAUUCCUGCCUGUAACAGUACCUGUUGAUAGAUAGCUAGGAGGAUUGUUGGGCCUUACUGGCUGCCAGCUCAGGUCCAGGUUCAGGGAGAGACUCUAUCUCAGAGGAGUCAGGUAGUGAUAGGUCAGGACACCUGAUGUCCUCUUCUGGCCACUCCAUGUGCAUGGCUCCUGCACAGCACACGUGUUCUCCCCACACGCCCCCCCCCAUCAAUGGACANNNNNNCCAGAUAAAAGAAAACCAAAGCUGUAGCAUACUAUGCUUUAAGUCUUUCCAAUUAACAGGCCCAUCCAUAUGUACUCUUGUUGUCGGGAUCUAGGGAAACAGGCAUAUUUGGGCAGCAUUUACAAUAGUAUAGGGUCUGUGAGGCAUUAUCUACCUAAAUCCCAUUUAAAAUAGGCCAAAGAGACAUCUUAAAGUGAAUCCAUUUGAAAUAAAAAUCAAUACAUUGUGAUAAGCAGAUGAUUGGAAGGUUAUCUUGAAAAAGUGUUAAGUUAUAAAAAGAUUUGCUCAUAUAUAAUAACACUAAUGUCUGCAGAUAUACACUUUUAGAAAAAUAGCAAAUUGAAAACCUUUAUUUUGUAAAGCACUAUGCAGUACCAUCUUGCAGAGAAAGGAUGUUGUUGCAGAAGUAUGGCAAGGCCUGGCUGAUUUUGAGAGGGGCUGCCCUGAAUCUUCCAUGACCUCACCAACUCUCCCUUAAAAUGCUUAUCUAGAAUUAGCCUGGCUCUUCUUUUCAAUAGAUAACUGGUCUAACUGUCUGAUUUUUCCAUGGAGAAAUUCAUCAGCAAAUCUCUUUCCAACUUGAUGAAUUCUUCUAUAAGAUUUAUAGUUUCUCUUCAUAAGUGAUUUGCUUUGUGUGUGCUUAAUGUUGUUUGGUGGACAAGAUCAGCCUAGAAGGAGCUCAGUCAACAGAGAUGCCAGCAGGGAUAACAUGGAUGGGGAUGGGGAGGCACAGCCAUGUUCAAUGGGGAGAGCAAUUUCAGAGGGAACUAAUUUCAUAAGUGGUCGGUUCAUAAGUGAAUACACUUGAAUGGAUAAUCACUAUUUUUAGCUGCUCUAUACAUUCAUCAAUAGGGGACUUGUUCCAUAAAUCAUGGCAUAAUCAGAGGCUCUGCAGCUGUUAGUAGAAAGGAUGCUUGCUGCUUGUCUGAGUAAAGCUCUAUCUUCGAAUUCAUGUCCAUUGGUGCAGAGCGCCCAUGCUAAACGUGCAAAGUUUCAUUUGGCAUGGCCUCUGGGACAUAUGUCUCAGUCCCUGGCCACUGUGUGCUGUCAGACUCCUGAUUUCUGCAUUGUAUAGUAGCAUCCUUGGGAAUGUUCACUUUCUUCAUAGACUAUCCUUUGGAAGAGAGUCUGGGUCCACCAAUUUAUUAAAGGUACCUUUAGGAAGGUGGUUUUUUAACACCUAGUUUAGUAUUCCUAAUCCUGCACUACCAUCUACAUGACUUUGCCAGAUACUGUUGAGUUUAUGUGUUGACUAGAAAUGUGCCUGGUUCCAGGAAUACAGCUAACAACCUGAGGAGAAUAGUGAGCACGUUCUGUCUGGAAAAAGCCUGGCCCAGAGCAAAGGCCACAUCCCCCUUACAACAUCCUGGAAUCCCAGCCACGAGAAAAACAGCACUGUCACCUGCUCACUUGAAUGUGCAUAUAUAAGUAAAACUGCUACUCAGAGUUGCAACAUAUCGUAACAAGCCAGUCCUGUGCAGACAUCUGCAAGACUACGGCACCUACCUGUACAUAAGACACACGUACAAGUAUUCAAGAAUGUGUGCCACCCAUGUCCAAAGGAGGCACAGAGACAUGUAUCUUUGCUUAUAUAAAGUCUCUGGGAAGACCUAGCAGAACUAAAAACAUUUAGGAAAAGAAACUUGGGAAUUAGGGUUGGGGUAGGAGACCCUUAGUUUUGUGUUUUUGUUUUUCUUUGCCAUAUUCCUUUCUGUACCCUAAUUUUCACUGUUUGAUUUGUGCAUGUAUACACAAGGAUGUGUGGUGCAUUUGUGGUAUUUUUUUAACAUAAUACUAGUAUAAAAGGUUUGCUCUGAUGUGCAGUGCAUUUUACUGUGAUGUUUGCUUUUUUAGCACAACAUUAAUACUUUACAAAAGUCUUGUUUGGACAUAGCAGGUGUAGUUCCAGAUCGGGAUCGGCUGUAGGCAGCCACAGUAUGCAUGCUGGGUGGACAGCAUGCCUGUGUGGAGCUGGGAGUCUCUGGUUCAUGUCACUCUGGAGCAGGGGCUGCUCUAGCACAAAGAAGGUUUUGAAAGGCAAAGGCAGAGCCAGAGUCAGGGCAGGCUCUGGGCAGGCUCCAAGAGAGCCAGCAACCCUCUGCUGAAGGGUACCCUGAACCCCAUUGCACAGGCGGGCACCUCCUGUGAAGUGAGACUGCUACACAAGUCUCGUCAUUACAGACUUUUGAGUGGAGUGAUUCUGAAAGAAGAGAAUGAGUACGGCGUGUCCUACUGUGCCUCAUUAAAUAUGGAAGUUUUUAUGUAACUUUCCUCCAUUUCAGGUAAUCUCAAAUUUGAUGAAUGAAGAAUGACAGCAGUUCAUCUUUCAGUUCAUUUGUGCCUCUAUUGAUCUAAUUGAAUGUUUUCUAUACAAAUUUAUUUUUAAAUCUAUCUUAGAUCUUAGUCUACAACCACAUUUCAUAUUGCCAAAACUGCAUUAGGGAGGGCCAAGUUAUCUUCACCAUUGAAACAGGUCUGCUAGUUUGGCUCUGUCUGUCCUGUGGAAAUGACACAAUGUUGACCUAAGAGGGGGGGUCCUCACUUCUCCCUACUGAGUCCCCAUGGUUGGGGAAGAAGAAGCUGUGAGCCCACCCCCAGACCUGCCCACUCAGGACAUGCCCAUGUUGGGCUUGUCUGUGGACUCUGCCCUUGGCAUCCCUGUUGCCCACCUGGGCUCUGGCAGAGAAGUUGGGCGGGAAGAGGCCAGCCGAGUACCCGCCAGUAUAAGAGGAAACGGAGAGAAACAGCUCCAGUCAGCCCCAGAAGGGAGGCCUGGAAAAACUCUGCAGCUGGAGCAAACACAAAGGACUUUUCAGAUCCUGCAGUCAAGGUGCCCAGUGCUUUUUUUUUUUUUUUUUUUAAAUACAGCUAUUAGGGUGACAAGCCUUUCCAAAGGCCAGCAGUUGGCGAGAGUUUCCAGGAAGCUGGUCUGGCAUGGGGCUGGGAUCAUAGCAACUUUUAACGAGUGAAGUUCAGAAGGAAAGAGUCAUCAGGAAAGGUUUAAGGUUCAACAAACUUUUUGAAUUAUUUUGCAAAAAAAGUUCUGGCUUUCCAAUUCAAAGGCAUGUUUCCCUGUGAUGGUUUUAAGCCAGAGCUUAUUUCAAAGGCAACACAGACUGCACGUUUCUAAUUCAUUCCCUGGAGAUAUUUGCCUAAUCCUAGAGACAAGCUUUGCAAGUGCCAUCCAGUGCCUGGAGACACUAGAGCCAUCCUACUAUCUUUUCAAACAGCCAUCCACCCACGUGUCUCUCCCCUCUACCAGUUUCUGUGGUUGGGAGUACACAUAUGCACACACCUUCUCUAAGCAGGAAGCUGCUCUUUGCCAAAAGUGAAUGGAAUUCAGAUUUCCAGAGGGUAUCCUUGGUCUCAAGCUCCAACAGCCAUCUGACGAAGAAAGAUGCUAGUGUGCGCGCUGGGGCUGUGAAGAGAGGGGCUUCCGUGUCCAUUCAAAUCUUUCUGGGCCCCAAGAAAAACCAACAACUGGCUGUGCUCUCCCUAGCCCCACCCAGCCUCAGUCACAUUCCUUCCCUUCCUGAGCCCACCCUGGGUGGCCCCACAAACCAGCUUCCACUCCUCCCUUCCCACCAGUGGGGAGACCUAACUCAUGUACUCAUCGAACAGCCAACAGUGAAAAUGAAGGUCACACUGCAAGCCCAGAACAGCUUAAAAGCAGAGAAGGGUCCUCCCCAAUGUCUGUUCUCACCCCAGUCAGAGGCUAUUCCCUUUUUCUCUGUCUAGCAGCCCCUAGGACUAAGCGUUCAUACCUUCCUGUGCUUGCUUCCAGGAAAUCCUAGCCUACUUCUGCCUGUAACAUUCUUGGUCCGGGAAAUGAAGAGGCUGCUGUUUGGGCUGCUGUAGCCUUCGCUACUAGAACGUUCCAACAUAUUAGGGAUCUCUAUCCCUACCUAAGCCUUCCAAGCCCCAGGAUCCAGCAUCCCUGGGACUUGUACAUUUAUACAUGCUGACAUGGUUUUGAUAAUGAGUCACAGUAGGGAUCAGCAGUGACAAGGUAAACUGGCUGGUCCUAAUCCUAAGUUUCUGGGAUUUGUACUUGUCCAGCCAGGGAGGGAACAUGUGGAGAACCUUCUGCAGCUGUCAGAAGGAAUGAGUGACUAUGGUGGACAUUUUGGUUCUGUGCUCAGCAAGAUACCUAGGGCAGAGACUUGGCUCAAAGGCUGCAAAUCAAAUCCUUUGAUUUCGAAUGAGACUAUUUUCAAUGCCAUAGUCUCCUGGAAGCAGGAUUAUUUCUCCUGAGAUCAGUUCUGGAGGCGAUUGAGGCUUUGCCAUCUGGGCAUUGCUCUCUCACCUGGUUCUGGUUGCUACAAGGUGCUCAGCUUGUCUAAUUACAGUUGACUGUCUCUACUGUCUAUGGCUCUAAGGCCCAGUCUGAUCCUCUUGCUUGGUCAAAAGUAGUGUUGUCCUAGUGGAUUUUCUGGGUGUUCUGUAAAGUGUUAUUAUGGUUUUACUGGCCAGCCUUACUUUCUUUCCUUGGCCAGUCUCAGGUCUCAUCUGUAAGUAUCUGCAUCAUAACCUCAGGUCUACCAACUUCUUCCUGGCAGAGUCUGUAGUGGGCUUGUCCUCAUCACCUUGGAAGGAUCUUCCUGUUCCAGUCCUAGGUUUUGUGCUACUUAAGAAAAUGCCCCAGGUAACUAGCAGUAAUGUAGCCAUUUGAUCUAGCCCUGCUGGAGGUGACUGACAGAACCCCAUACAGAGGAGAUAGGUUCCAUCAGUAAACAGAACAUAGGGGUAAGAAUUGGGCCCGCUUUCUGGCUCUGGUCAUGCCAUUAGGUGGCCUUAUACUCUCUUAUCUCUGAUUGACUUCCAUUCUCUUGUCUUUACAUUAUAUGACACCUCCAAGGAUGUUGUGACCCAAACCCAGACCACAUGGUCUCCUGAGAUCCUGUGAUGGGGCCAUUGCCCAUUGUUGAGACAGUCUGGUAAAGAAAAGCCUGGUAGCAUGGAGUAUGCAAAGCCUUAGGGAAGAAUAACUGUUUGUUUGAGACAGGUCUCAUUUAGCUCAGUUUGUUCUCAAACUCAUUGUCACUGAGGAUGACUUUGAACUUCUGAUCUUCUUGCCUGAAGCUCCUGAGUGCUGGGAUUACAGAUAUGUACAACUAGACCUAGUUUAUGCCGUGCUGGGGGUCAAACCCAGGGCUUCAUAAAUGAUAAGCCAGCAGCUCUCUAACUGCUAAACCAUAUCCCCAGAGGGAAGAAUAUCUUCAGUGAGGCCCUGAGCCUCUGGGGUGGACUACUUUACCCCUCCCCCUGUGCACAUAGCAUGCUAAGUUCAGUCAAGCCUGGAGCCUUUUGUCAAGCAUUGCUCCACUGAAGGUUGACCAUGCUGCCCUCCCCCCCCCCCCCCCCCCCCACACCCCAGGCACCUGCAUCUGGAGCCCACACUCCUAGCUGGUAGAGUUCAUAGGGUAGGUUUUUGUUUUCUGAAAAAGACUAUUUCAGUGUUUUGAAUUAGCAGAGUUUCAAUUUAAUUUAACAAUUUCAAGCUCGGCGGUGGUGGCACAUGCCUUUAAUUCUAGCCUUUUAAACUGCCAAGAGGCAGAGGCAGGCAGGUUUCUGAGGCCAGCCUGCUCUACAAAGUGAGUAUUCUAGGACAGCCAAGGCUAUAAAGAGAAACCUUGCCUCUAAAAACAAACAAACAAACAAAUAAACAAACAAACUCCAUAUCCAAACCUGAGGGAAAUAAAAGUCUGGCUACCUCCAAAGGAGGUAGACUUAGGCAAGAGAAAAAGAUCUUGGAGUAGAGGGCAGGGUGUUGGCUCACACAUAUGGCCUAAGUGUAGUCAAGGCCAGGGCAAGGGGACAGGCCCAGAACAAAUGAGCACUUUAAGUCCCAGUAUGACCUUCGCCCUACCAUCUUCACCUCAGGUACAGAGACCAGCUGCCUAGGAAAUUAAUGGUGGGGCCCAGAGGACAGCUGCUUAGUGCUACCUACUUCAAUGAACCUAGUUCUGUUGGGGCAGCAAGUUUAGGCCCUAAAGCAGGAUAGGUAAGAACCCUGCCUGAGAGUAUGUGUUUGUAGAGAGCUCUAUGUUCUCUAAGCCUCAUCUUUCACCCUUCUUACCUGCCUACAACCCCACAACAUAAAUACCUCCUAACUACCUUGCAAAUGCAGCCUCAUUUCUGCCUCAGUUCUCCAGUAGGGCACCAUAAGCCACUGUUAGGACAGAGUAAUACUUAGAGUUUGAUUUUAUAUGAGGGCUUACAGCCAGAGUCCUCAGAGAGAAGCCAGGUAGAAUAAAAAUGAUCCCUGAAAACAUCUUGAAUUACACCCUUCCCCAGUAAUCUCUCUCAGAGCCCUCUGAUCUCUUGCUUCUAAGUUGUUCUCAUGUCCCCAAAGAAGAAAAAGCUCUCAGGGGACCUGCCAAUUGUCUCUGGACUUCUGGGGCAGCAGCUCCAUGUGUGACGAGAUUACGUAGGCAGAAUAUCUAAGCAGAUGGUGAAGCCAGGAUUAUGGAGCUAGAAAUGCUUGGCUGAGUAGAGACUUAGACUAGACCCCUAUCUCUUGCACGCGCCGGACUCGCCAGCAGUAACAACGCUGCAACAGGAUCCUUCUGCACACAUUUAUUGGGAGAGCUUGAUUGCAGAGGUGAAGAGACCCCGAGCCCAGAACUGGUGCUGCUUAUAUAGGCCNNNNNNNNNNUUUGCAUGUCUCACAUCUGAUUGGUUAUACUCUCAAAGCCUCAUUAUCAUGCCCGGGCCAGGCAGUGUCUUUGCAAAAAAUUUUACUGCAUGUGUACACAUUGGUUGUUUGUCCAAACUUAUGCGUGGUGGCCAGCAGUAGUGAGCGCCACUCUGCAACAGCACAUGUGGCUUCCCACACCUAUCUACUUCCCCCCAUUCUCUUCCAUGUUUCCAAGAUGUCACCCAGAUCACCCAUAGAUCCAGCCAUGGGCUUAUCGUCAGACCUCUGCUAACCAGUCAUUGCCAAGGAGAUGCGUCUCAGGUAUGGCUUUUGCCAAGGACACCUGAACUCCUAAAAGGAAUACAAAUAUAGGCAUAAAUACUGAGUUGGAGGCUUCGGGGCACCAUGAGAAGCUUAAGAGGAAAGGACAUCCUAGUUCCUAGUCUCUGAGAUCUAGAGAUGCUGGCAUGGCCUGGAAGCCAGUGAAGGCUCCUGGCUUCCUUAUGUGGCAAUGUCAAUCACGGUAUACUUAACAGGCUGAAUUCACAGAAUUCUCAUGGCAGAAGGUGAUCAGAUGACCAGUGCCCAAACCCACCAUGGACUGUUCAAAUCUACCAAUGGUCAUAAACUCUCACGUAUUACUGAGAGUGCCAGCUUACUACUUACUCUCAGGACUUCAACCUGACCUUCACCAAAGGAGACGUAGGCCCCCAGUGACAGUGUGUCCUAGAAUGAGCCUGGCUCUUCCAGUAUUUCUUGUGUGAUAGUAGCAAGUUUCUGCCCUUCCUGAACCUUUAUCGUCCCCUUUUGUGAAGCUGAACACUGACCCACUAAGUUCUCCAGCUUACACAGAUAUACAUUAUGUAUAUCAGCUAACUAUACCAUCACCAACUCUAGCACCAGAAGUGCAGCACAGGCUAGCACUGAAAAACUAGUUUGUAAAUACUGUGGCUACAUUUGGGUUUAUCUUUUCAACAGAGAGCCUGCUUCCUAUCACUUGCAGGGCCAAAGGAAAGCAGGAUAUAAAACUUACCCCUCUCCUUAGUCUGUCUGAAGGUAGGUGCUUUGAGUAAGCAAGUCAGCCCAAUGAUGAUGGGACCAAAUAUUGAAGCACACAGAGGAACCUUUAACUGCCAAAGGCACAGUCCUUGGAUCCCAUGUCCGACUUCCUCAUCAGAGUUAUGGGUGCUAGUCUCCUGCUUGUACCUCUAAUUAUAGGAGUCAAAACAGCUCACAAGCCCCUUCCCCAGCUACUUCAGGCUUUAGUCAGGACUUGUAGCCUUCCCCUGCUGCUACAUAUUCCAGAUCAUCCCAGAGCUCAGUCCUCUUAAGUCUAAUUAGGACAGCACUUGGGAUGCAGCCUGACCCAUUUGUAGCCCAUGGAAAAUCAUUACCUGGCAGUUUUUAAAGCUGUCAGGUCAAAUAAGCAAAACCUUAUGGGGUCUCCAGUCACAAAGGGAUACUUUAUACUUUCUCAAGUAGUUCCCCAAGUCAGGUAUAUGACUGGAUACCUGUCCACAUUUGCUAAAAUGUAUAUACCAACAGAGGAAGAUACAUUCUAAAUGUGUUAAUACACAAAGAGAACUGUAGCUCAUAGACAUUAAGAAAACUGCUUUAGGGUCCUGUGAGCAGGAUUGGAUGACUCAAGCCUGUCAGGGUUUCCUGAAAGAUGGUCCGUAGCCACUGUGAGCCCACAGCAAAUGCAAGCUUCCCAGGGCUUCCUGGAAGACACUGUUCUUAGCUAUUGCGAGCCCACAUCAGACCAUAAGCAUAUGCAGAAAACUACAGUAAGAGGACAGGAAGGUGACCGAAAUGGCUGGAGAACCAAUCAGGCCAUUGUUCCACAGAGCCCUCAUAGGGCCAUUACAAAGAACAUUUUCCUAGAAACUGAUGCAUAUAUAUUGAAGCAAAGGCCUUACAGAGCCAGCCAAGCCAGCCAUGAGGAAGAACUGAGGGAGCCUCCAUACCCCAGCCCUCAGGUCCUACUGGUAAACAGCAAUGAUAAUGAAAGGGUAACACUGGCCAAAGAGAACAGCCUGAAAGCUGACCAGUUGAACAGAGGACAGUCCAGAGAAUAACCAUAUGCCAACAGCGAGCUGAUUUAUAGUGACACUGAUAUGACAGGGCAGUGGGAGAAGGAUGGUGCUGUAUCAGACUGGAUGUCCAAGUGGAGGAAAAAGCUUAUCUUGACCUUGACUUCACACAGGACACAAAAAUCGAUUCCAGAUGGACUGCAGAUCUACAUGUGAAAGGUGAGCUUUUAAAGCUUUAGAACAAACCAGAAUAUCUUUAUGACCUUGGAGUAGUCAAAGUUUCUUAAGUAGGACAUAAACAGCACUAUCCAGAGAGGAAAUGUUUGAUUAACUGGACCAUGUUAAAAUUAAGACCUUCUGUUCAUCAAAAGACACCAAGAGGGGGCAGGACAGUCCGCAAGCAGGGCAGUAUUUACAAUACAUGUAUCUGUGUAUCUGACAAAUGACUCACACUUAAGAACACCCAGGACAGAGAGAGAUAAACUUGUGCCUGAAGAAGAACAGCUCUCAGUAUAGGAUAUAGAUGUCUUACAGAGAUCUAUAAAGAAAUGAGAAUAUAGAAUGGGGCUUAGCUCACUGCAAAUUACAGAUACCACUCUGAUGUUAUGAGAAGCCAGGAUGGCUAAAAAGGAAAUAGUGAAAAAUUGCAAGUGUGUGUGAGGAUGUGGAAAAAAGUGGAAUAUUCACAUGCUGCCAAGCAGGGGUAAAAGUUGGGGUGACUGCCAUGGGAAACAGCUGAUCCCGCAAUGACCCAGCACUUCUCGGCAUACAAUUAGCAGAGAUAGCCAUAACUUUUACCAGACACAUAUAUGUAGAAUAUUCUUAGUAACUCACUACCCAGAUCUGCCCAGUGGUCAUGGAUAGUAGAAUGAAAGAGCAAAUCACAGGCCACUCAGAACAGAGUGCCAAUGAUCAAAAGGCUCCCGAGACCACUGUUUUCUUCAGCCUCACCGGGAGGGGUGGGUGGUUCUCAGACAUCAGAGUGAAUGAAAGUACCAGAUACAUGUGUGUGCCGUGUGCGAUCUAGCCAUGUAGAUUUCAAACGCGGGCAAAGAUGGCUGUUGCUGCUGGGAAGUGAGCUUAUGGUUUGUUCUUGGUGUGUCCAUGAUAGGAAAUGGGAUCUAGGGGACUCCCUGGGGAUUCUACUGCUUUCUUUGGAUGCUUGGCUCUCAGGUAGGGAGAAUGCAUUAGGUUUGUACUGGAAAUCUGUAUACGUUACUCUUUUGAUGUGUUCCCUUUCUACUAUAAGUAAGUUUGUAACCCAGGGCUCUAUAGAAGACAGUAUUUUCUGAGCUUUAGUAGAGACACAACGCGGUACAAGCCCAGAGGGACUGGCCUUGCCGCCUGACUACCACCUUGUUUAGAAGGAUAUAUUACUCCAGUACCCUGACCAGACCACCAGCAGUCCCUAUUGUUCAGUUUCCACUUCCAGCUCUAGGCAAAGCAAACAGAAGAUGUAUUUGAGGGGCUCUCUCUGUUUUUCAGAGUACCUUUCUUUUAUGGUAUCGGUGUAGUAUGUACUGUCACACUACUCUCCCUGGCCUCUCUGUCUCCCUCAGAACAAUUCUAGGAGGUUGCUGCAUCCCUUUUCAUGUGCUUAGAUGAAGGAAGUGAAACUAGGGAAGGUUAGGGGCACUGGGGGCUGCCUAUAGCUGGGCCAGUGCAGGCUGGGAGCCAGAUUGAGGGCAUUCGAUUCCCAGUCCCUCUCUUUCUCACUGAGCCACUGAGCCACUCCGCCUCGCUUUUAAUUUAAUUAGGAGAACAUUUAAUCCCCCGUGCAUUUCAGAGACGGGUUUGAGCCUGGCCGGGGCCUUGUGGGGCUCUGACAGGGAUCCUGUGACUCAUACAGCCUUGCACAGCCCUCCCGGGAGGGCUCUCAUGGGGCUUCUUUGGCACCUUAUGCAGACAGAGGUGGUCUGGAUAUUCACAGAAGACAGGACACUAGUCUGGAAAGACAAACUGGUCUCAUCUGUUCUUGACAAGUCCCCUUCCCUAUCCUCCUGGACACUGCCCCCAACAUGGCCCCUCCAUCUUCUUCCAUCAUCAUUUGCAGGUUGAGAAGCCAAGUAAGAGAAAUGGGUGCUCACUGAGGUACCACAGCAGGCCCUGAUUGUCUCCAGGCCCUGAAUAUCCCAGGCAAAGCAGUCCCAUCAGAAGAGCUAGCCCCCUAGUCCACUAAUGCUCCCCUUCCAGAAGGCAUAGGCUGGCCCCAGCCUCGCUGACAAACGCAGAAUUCAGGAGACAUUAGUAGUGAUGUGGAUGAAAGCCAGGCCACAGCGGGCCUCCCUGGAAAAGAGAAACUCGAACGUCUUGGCGUGAGAUUCUGCAGGGUCCAGGAGAAAGUUGAAGACAUGGAAAUUCUAAUUAACGCACGAGGGGCUGGUUUUGCUCAAAGAUUUUUGAAGCUGUCAUGUCAAAAGAGGCCCGGCAAGCACAUGCUCGCCCGGGAGGUGCUUGUGGGCACCUGGUGGGAUUCUUGCAAUGUCCUAGCCUGUAUUCUUACUUUCCCUCUGUCCUCUAGACUUUUCUCCACCCAUCUUGGUAAACUGGUGGCCCCUGAAUGUCAUCCCAGAGUGGGAUGGCAGGCUGGUUAGUAAAUAAAUGUUGAGGCUUCCAGUUGAAAAUGUCACAUCAAAAAAGUCAGAGGGCUCAGGAACCAACCUCUUGGAAGAAACCUUUAGGGAAACUACAUGGCAGAGCCAGGCUGAGCUAUAGGCUGCUGUGCUUGUGGUAGGCUUGGCAUUUGGGGAUGUUCAUCUUAGAUAUCCUUGUGCAACGGAUGGGGCAAUGGUUCCAGACAAGUUCUGAUUGAUUCAUCGGCUGGAGGGUGGGGUGAAGUGGCUGUAGGAGAAGCUCACUGAGGUCAAACCCAGACAUGCUUCUUUAGCGUUGAGCUAUAGGUGCUCAUGUCCUGGGCCCUAUGUAUGUCUCGGCAUCUAUGGGACGUACCUGGAGACCUUGCUUCAUUUCAGGCAAGGCUAAUGAUGUGCUUUCUGUGUCAGAGUAGGACUGGCAGUCUUAGGGUUCUUUCAUCCUGGAGUUUUGGGGAGUGCUGGAAAAAGAGUGGCCAUGAGCAGCCACAACACUCUGCUGCUUGCCUGACCCAGGCUAGAAUCAGGGAGCUUUGAUGAUAGCCUCAAGAUGAUGUGAGAGGCAUUCCUGGGGAAAGGGAGGACUGAGUAGACACUGGAAAGAUGUGCAAUUCUGAUGGCUACAGGACCGACAAGGACAUUCCAGCUGGUGGGAUGCAUAUGAGCCCUUGCCAGUUAACCCCAGUAAGCAGAAUCCUGGAGACUUGCCCUAUUAGUUGUAAAGAUACUCCCCAUCUCUCGUGGCAGUGGGUCUCUAUUUCCUACGUGGCCCUUAGAAGUCUGGAGCAAGGCUUUAGAUAGAGGAUUCAUGUUGAGGGAGAUUGAGGAGUACAGGGCUCCCUUCCAGUGAUGUUAGAACCAGGAAGACAGCAUCUGACUGAAAUAUGUAUGCAACACUGAGGCCCAGAUAUCCAGAUCUGGACGAUGCCUGGGGCUUACUUGAGGAGCUGCUGGUACGUGCCUGUUGAGCUGGGGUCAGAGAAGCAAUAUUGUCUUCUCAGCAUCCUUCCCUAUUUACCUCUCUGGUUUUCAAUAGGCCUGCACCUUGGCCUCUCUGUCCCCAAACUAUCAGUGGCCAACCGGCUCUGAAAAGAGGAGCUUCACCCAGCCCCAGGGACCUUCCCAUAAUCAAGGCUACAGUGACCUCACCUCCCUAGGGCCCCUGGGCGGGGAGAGCUUGAGAUGGAAACAAAAUGUGUCUUUAUUUAUGCUUUUAAUUUGAAUUCUGGAACUGGCCCAGCAUGGUAAUACAUUUAACAUCAGUAAAAUGCUGAAGAAAAAUGGAUCUGUUUUUCUGCAACUGCUUCCCACCCACUCUGCUCCCUGCAAGACCCUAGUACACAUCUCUGUCCCUGGUAGACACGUACGAGGGUGUGUGCCUCUUUUUUCAGUGUAGGUUCAUAGGGCCAGCUGCCCACAGGAGCCAUGCUGCAUCAGUGAGCUGCUGGAGCCUAGCUUAAUUACAGACAUCAAUCAACAGGCUGACUAUGCAAGAGGCAAAGGAAUGCAGCCCUGGUGUGGGCAUGUGGGCCCCUUACACAGUACCCAUGAUGGCCUAUCUGCUCCCCUAGAAUGGGGAGGGGUCUUGGUAAGGCCAGUAGUCCUGGGAGCACAUCAGGUUCUAGGACCCAGACACACACCAGGCCUAUGGUCAUGCUCUCUGCUAGGACUUCCACCAAGGAUGGCACUAGACUUCUACAGAUGUGGGUGUCUAAAUUCUUAGAUGCCUCAACCCUGACUCCAACUCUGCUUUGACCAGAUUAUAUUUUUUGCGUAAGCCUAUGAUCUCUCUGUCUCUACCUUAGGUCUUUUAACUCAGCCCCACCGUGGGCUCCUCCUUUCCUCCUUUCCUCCUUUCCCACCUUCCUAGAUUGGCUUGUUCCCAGCUGCUGCAUUUGGAAUAAAUUGGCCUAGAAAGGGUCUUGGUGUGUUCUUGGGUAGAGACUUGACUGGAUAAAGACUGUCCACCUACUCAGGUUCCAGGAGUGCUGGCCUGAGAAGAGCUGUGGUACCUGGAAAGAUGGUGACACACUAGGCCUAUAGAGACCAAGAAAGCAUCAUUCAUGUCUCUGAGGUUCUGUUAAAGAUCUGUUAUCAGAUUUGGCCUAGUACUCUGAGCAGUGUCGUCUAAGUGGCUUAGGGCUGCUUCUAGAACAGAUAGACAGUACAUGUCUGGCUCCAGGAGCUUUGAGUAUACUAAUACCCGCACAGGUGGCCUUUUGCCCCCAAAGGUGUGGUUAUAGGGCAUCUAUGGACUGAACUAUGGUCUUGUAUCACCAGUCUCCACCCUCCCUUGGGACCUCGUUGGUGCUCACAGUAGCUAGGAGAUGUGAGAUACAUCUAUCAAGGUAGAUGGUUUGUUGAGAGCACUACUCUCGUUGUAGCUGCUUCUGUGUCUGGAGGUUGCUUCAUGGCCAGAAGAAUAAAAUGGAAUGGAUACCAAUGAGAGGUGAGUGAUCAGGGGGAUAAGAAGGCUGACUGGUCUUUCUAGGCAUAGGCAAUUCCCUGAGGCCUGCUAUGGUUGCCAUGGUGCUACUUACUAUCCUUACUCCUAAGCAGGCACUGGCAUAUCCAACACCACCCACAAGACACCAGUGUUUACACUUUGAGUUGUCUCGUGCCGUGGACUUGAUGGAGAGACUUAACCAUAGUGUAAGCUAUUUUUCUACCCUCUGACGCCAGCCUAUACCUGCCUAGCCUGUCUGGACUCCUGUUCCCACACCUCUGUUCCCGCUUGCUAAUGCAGCCAGCCUGUAAGGCUAUCUUAGGAGGGAGAGUGACCCCUGCUUCUCAAUAACAUUCUCGCUCUCUCUAAACCCAUGAACCCUCUCUACAUCUUACAAACCAUGAGGCACUGCUAACCUCCUUUAAGUUUGGGUGGUCUGGGAAGAUAGUGGGCAUGCCUUGUUUGAUCAUAAUCAUUUCUCUGACAAGCCUGCCUUCCCCCAGGGUGGCCUCAACUUGGCUAUCUGGUUACUUAAGAAACCCUCAGCACUGUGAGUCCAAGUUUCUUCAGUCAUUGUAAAGUCAAGCCUGAAAUCUAGACAUAGGCCAGAAGCGUUAUGACUACACAAGGUUAAGGACAUGAAUUUUAGUAGAAAGAGUGGAAGAGUCUCAGAAUGCGAAUCUCAGGAAAACUAAGAGUAUGGCAUUAACAUCCUGACACAAAAACACUUUUCUAGAGGAGUACCCAGUGGGGCAGUGGUCAGAAGGAGUCUGAGUGACCUGCCUCCACCACAUCGCUGCCUCUACUGAGUUUUGGUAGGAACAUUUGAGUCACGUGUUGCAGAGAAAUCAUGGCAUGGCUGGGUACUAGGGUUUGUCCUGGUGAUGCCUUGAUGGGGGCCCAAAUGGGGGGAGAGGAUGGGCAUGUGUCCCAGGCCAGCUGUGCCUGGGGGAAGGCCAACUGGAAGGCGUAGAAAAUCAGCCAUUUCCUCCACCUGAAGGAGCCCCUGAGGACAGUAGUGGCAACUAGCAGGCAGCACCCGGCGUCUGCCCCAUGGCUUUGGCCAAAAUCCCACAGGGAAAUGCUAAAAAAUAAUGUUAACUCUCUUGAAGGAGUGGUGGAGGGGUGUAGGGGAGGAAAACAACAACAACAACAAAACCAACCCAAGUUUCUCAGACGCUCAAAGCAUGCAAACAAGUGGAAAAUGAUCAGUCUGGUUUUCCAUAAGUCAAAACAAGAGGAUCAUGUUUCCAGAUUCAGUGGGAAAGCCCCUGCCCUUCUCUCCUGCCUGAGCCCUGAGGCCAGCCCCAGCAGCCAGUGUCCCCAGGUUCAUAAGGAUAGGCAGUGAGUUGUGGGUACUGGGUAAAUAGACUGCAUCCCAGCAAGAGGAUAAGCUUUGCCCUAUGCUAGGGCAGUUCCCUUGAGCCCCAGCCUUUGAGGGCAAAUGGACACUCACUGUGACACAUGGGUGAUGGGGGUCAGCAGUGUCUCCCCUUCCAGGUCCAGGUCCUCUGCAAAGCUGUUUGUUCUCAAGAAAUGGGGUGUGCUUACUUCCAGCAGUGUAGGGCUCUUCCUUACUGUGAAGAAGGUAUGGGGACAGCUCAUUAGGCUUCAAUAGAAACUUGAUCAUGAAGGGGAUCCAGAACUGGACAGAACUAGACUCAAAUGUCCACCCCAACCUGCUAUUGCUAUGGGAUAAACCUGUAAGCUCUCAAGAUCAGGUGAAGAGUGAGGACAGAGCUUGGAAGUUUUAGCCUUACCCAUCAGGUUGGUUUACACUGAGUGGAAUAAGUGAGUGGGCAUUCACUUAUUCCAUUCACUUAUGCCCAUUCACUUAUUGAUUGGUCCCCAGGUACCUGGGGACUUAGCCUCCCAGGGUAAACCAUAGAGGCUGGUACAUUCUCCCCAGUGUUGUAGCUGCCCUGGGGCUGAGUUCCAGGACUGAGUAAGGUUCUGCCCUAUGUAUGUUAAGUUCUAGGCCUCUCACCAGCUUCACAUAAAACAUUUGUGCCAAGAACAAAUGAAAGCACUGAUCUCCACUACUGUGCUAUUCACACACAUACACUGACAGAUCAGUGGACCAUGCAACAAAAGGUGCUAGUACCUCUGCUUAUCAGGAAUCACAAGCUGAAUUCCUUGUUCUGGUCAUGAUGCCUUAUUAACCGGGUUCUCUCUGAGGGAGGCCUCCAGACUGUCCCAAUAGCUGACUUCCAUAGCUCAGGGCACUGAUCCAGAUUAGUCUUCACAGCAUUUCCAGCUUACUAGUGUUUGCUCUCAACUCACUUCUCCUUUAAAGUAUCUAAUAUAGUAUUAAGUACUUCUGAUGAGUGGAAUAUUGAAAAAUUCACAGUGGUCCUCAAUUAUAGGAAUCAUCUGCUGCCCGGGACCCUGGCUUUUCUGGUAGCACAAAUGUGAGGUCAUAAACUUGGGCAGACUUCUGUUCUUGUCAGUUUUUCUUACUCUGCGACAUUCUUUUCUUUAGGUAUGCAGCUAUGCAUCUAAUGAUCAUUUUAGCAGCACAUGAGCCCAUAGCUUAGGUCUACCACAAUUAACUUUACUCAUCCCAUAUUUUAUGGAUGUUCAGUCUUGUAGUUUUAUGACAACCAGACAGUGAUGUAAUAUCCAUCUUCGUUGUUAAAAGUUGUUGAUAUACUGGGCAGGUGAGAUAGCAUGACUUUGGUAAUAUUAAUAAGUGUUUUUGGAUUGUUCUUCUGUUAAGUUGUAGCCAACUAUUCCUCCCCUUCAAUUUUGCUUGGCCUUUCAAGCAUGGAUAAACACUGAGGCUUUCUCAUUUUCAAAAUUGUUAUUAGUUCUUUGAGACUAUGAUCAACGAACUUUGAUCCUCAACCACCUUCUAACUUCUCAAUUUUGUAUCCUCUUGUUUUAAAAUUCAAUAAUUCAUCAACUUCAGUUUGUGCUCUCCAUGUAAUUCUGGGUGUGGGGGCUGUAAUACUGCAGUAUGAAUGACCCACCAGGAGUUAGAAUGUUAAGGAAAAACUCUCCUUUCCCAGGAGCCAUUAAUUGUCCAUAGCUUUUCAAGAGCCUCUUGGGGUUCGUGAAAUUCUUGUACUCAAUGAUACAGUGUUGACUGGCUUGAUCUUGUGUAGGCAAUCAUGCAACUGUCCUGUCAUGCCCAGAAGUUAGUUUGUUCCAGUCGUCGCCUAUCUCUGGCUCUUACAGUCCUCCCAUCCCCUUUUAUAAUGGUCCUGGGCCUGUGAGAGGGGGAUGGCUUUCUCAUUUUCAUAUUCACUGACUGCUUCUGGCUUGUUUGGGAUUCUUCUUUCAGAAUUGCCCGUUAAUAACCUUUGCUUGGCAUUUCAAAGGAACUUUUAAUUCAUUAGAGAUAAUAACCUUGUGUUACAUGAAGCAUAAAUAACUUUCUUGGUCUAUGUUUGUCUUUUUAACACUCCGUUGUUUUAUCAUAAAGACUGUCUUGUUUUUUUACAGUGAUACAUUUACUUUAUGGAAUGGGUUUCCCACAACUACUACAGCAGUCUUUUACAUUUAUUUCCAAUAUAAACAUACAAAUGUGGGCAUACAUCUGUAUGUGUAUAUAAAUUUUAACACAUUUAGCAUUUAUGUGUAAUGCAAAGGAUGUUUAGAAGUCAUACAAUGGAAAUACAAGAACACUAUAUAUAGUCUUUUAAAAAUCUGAAAUAGAACAUAAAACUAAAAAAAAGUUAAGAAAACUUCAAAAUCUCUAGGACUUUAGAUUUGAAAGAGAAUUGAGAUGCAACACCGAAAACUUAAUCCAAGUGGGGGAGGGGACUCAAUUUUAUUAUAAUUAGAAACAAAUGAGUUAUUCCUGCAACAAGUGCAUUUUUCUAAGUAGCAACAGAAGCAAGGAGGAACAGGCUCACUGACUGUUAAAAUGCUGUGCUUUGUGAAGGCAAUGAGACAAGUCACAGAUUUACUGCAUAUCACUUAAUGGAAUCAAGGGCCUUGUACCCAGAGUAUAUAAAGAAGAAUGAUCAUAAUUUGACAACAGUGAAGCAAACAACCCAUCUUAAAAAGUGGAUUACAAAUAAGCAUGGGAAAUUGUGCUCAGCCACAGUCUAUGGUCUUUAUGGAAAUACAAUAUUAAAGCUUCAGUGAGAUAACCCUGAAAAUUAUCAUGAAGAUGGAUAAAGCAUUAAAUUAAAACCUUGUAACAGCCAGCACUUCAAGGAGGCAGAAUGACUGCAACCCUCAUGUGCCCGAGGUGGGAAUGCAAAGUGGCCCAACUGCUCUGAAGAACAAACUUCAUAGCCUUAUAAACACACAUAUGAUUUAUGACUCAGUGUAUGGGAUAUUUAAGUUCACAUAAAUCUGCACACAAAAAUAUACAGCAAUUUUACCUCUAGUUGCACCAAACAAGUUAUAACCAAGAUGGCAACAGUGAAAUGAAUAAAGAAAUCGUGGUGUGUCUAUCUGUCCCACCUAUGCAGUGGAAUAAUGUCCAGCAAUCAACUAGAAUAUUGGAGGAUCCUGGGACAGAUAAUAGACUAUGGUGAGUAGACUGUGUGUUGUGAAUACAUGAUAGAGCACUGAAGAGAGAAGGUGGGGUCUGGGGGAGGAGGAACUUGCUAACGUUGCUUUAAAAAAUAAUGUUUGGACUAAAGAAAACCUAGAGAAAAAAUACUGACAUAAACACAAUAUUCUUGUAGAUAAUUUUGUUUCACACAGGGGUACUGUAUAUCAAGGAUUAUACAAACCAGUAUCUAUACUAGAAAAUGGGAGCUGAGGACAAAGUAAGGAUAAUCAGAAACAGUAUAAACUCGAGGUAAGCUGCAUAAAGAUACAAACCCUGAAACAUGGAUGUAUAUAGACUUUCAUUAUAGACAUACAUAUUUCCUAGUUCUACCUGCAGAAAGGAUAUGUUAUCAGUGACCCUUUUGUGGCAAAGAACACACUCCGUGCCCAGGUCAUAUAUAACACUGUUAGUCUGCCAAUAAAAGCGAAUAUGGCUCCUUGGAAGAAUGGCCGCUUCUGGGGCUAGCACAGGGAAACUACACGAUGAACCUAAAAGGAACUAAAUGGAAAGCAUGUCUAAAGGGCUCCUGUACAAGUGGCUAAAGUAGAAAAAGGUUAGCCACAAAACAAUAAUCCUCAGCUAUACCCCAGAAACACAGUUGCCAAGUCCGUCUGUAUUUCUAAAUAACUGAAAGUGAGAUGAAAAAAGUGAUCUCUGUAAGUGUAGAAGGAACAAGUUAACCAGAAGUGCACCGUAGAAAUGCUUGAAAGAUCCGUGGAUGAAGGCUAGAAUAGAAUUAGUAGGUGAAAUCUUUUUUUUUUUUUGUAAUUAUUCCUUCAUUCUCUUUAUUGAUCCAUGUUGAACUAGAAAGCCACUUUGUUCAUUUAAUUAUCAUAUAUGAUUGUAUUGUACAUUUUACAGUUAUGUUGUUUUCCAGUGACAUUGAUUGAAUCCUGGGCUUUGUUCAUGCUAGACAAGCAUUCUGCCACUACGCUACAUCCUUAGUCCCAAAAUAAAUUUUAAUUGCUUUAGUGAUUUUAACACAUUCACAGAGUCUCUAAUACUCUUUUGCAAGAGAUAGAAUGAAAUUCCUCAUUCUCCGAAUGUUGGCCAGACCUGGUGACUUGCUUUUAAUAACUAGGUCUAAUAAAGGUGAAAUAGUGGGUCAAUUACAGUGAGCUAUUUAAUCAUGUAAAGUUGACACCAUGGUGAUGGAAGAAAAUGAGAAAAGCACCUUGCCUUGAUGACAUUUACGACACCUGUAACCCUAUUCUAAUUUUGAGAGAAUGUUAUACAGACCCAGAGUAGCACUGACAUUUGAUAAGUAUUUAAAAGCAUCAACUCCAGUGACAGUACUGACAGGACACCAAGGUCCUGCUGAAUGAGCGUGAUGGUAGAUAUUGGACAGGCUCUUGGAGCAUCAAACUGGGAGAAAGACUAAAGUGUAGCUCUACAGCAUUGUAUUAAAUUAAACUUGUUUUAGUUUUUAAUCAAAGUAACAUGGUUAUGUGAGGUACUUCGUGAAAGGUACAUUGCAAGACUAUUUUUUCUUUUACAAGAAUAUGUAAUAUAUGCAAAUAAAACACACAAAUUAAAAGGGAAAAGAAGCAGAAUAGUAGAAAAGAAUCUCUAGUGUAUAAAGAUAGAUUAAAAACUAUUAAGAAAAGCACAAAACUUUAAACAGAGACACCGACAAACAGAAAACUGCCUUUAUUGCAUUGACAAAACACUCAAAAAAUUCUGAAAAAUCCUAAAUUUUAAUUAAAAUCCUAAUGUUUGUGGUGAAUACUCUGACAAGUGGAUUCUGAGAUGUAUUUGGAAGUGUAAAAGACCAGGGAAAAGUAAUAUUCUUUAAGAACAGGGUGGCUAAUAGGCUUAUCAAAAACAAGUACUUCAACAUAGUAGUCAUUAAUACAAUGUAGAACUGAUUCAAGGAGAGACUUAACUGGCUAGUGGGAUAGAAAUGGAUGUCAGAAAAUAGCCUACCCAUGGACACUUGCAAUGUAUUAAAGGCUUACUUAUCAUGAGAUGGCCUUUUAAAUGACACAUUCAAGGACAAGGAAAUUCACAUGGGGAAAACACUGAACUGGGCCCUUAAUUUUCUCACAGCGUACAUUGAAAACACAUUCUUGGUGUUUCAGGGCUUAUGACAAGUAGAACCAGAAGGACCAUAGGCCUGGAUAUAGAAGAAUAUCUACAUUGCUUUGGGGUAGAAUAACUAAGAAGCAAUAAUCAAAAAGAAAAAUAGCAAUUUAGCCACAUUCAGAGUCAAAACCUAGAUAUCUAAAUACAUUUUAAAUAGUAAAAAGGGAUUCAAAAAUGAUAAAACAUAUAAAAAGUUAGGUAAAUCAGUAAGAACAAAUAGAUAAGUCUGGUGGCGCAGGUCUGUAAUCGUAGCUACCUAGGAAGCUGAGGAAGAAGAAAUAUUAUGUUCAGGACCUUGCUGGGACAACAGUGAGUCAAGAUAACUCUCAAAGAGAAAAAUGAGGGCUAGAGAUGGCUCAGUGGUAGUGUCUUCCCACUAGGUAUAAGACCUUAGGUUUAAUUCUCUAGUACUGAAAAAAAUGACCUAACCGAAAAAUAAGCAAGACACCCUACACCCACCCCCUUCAAAAUGAGACAAGAAUUCAAAAGCGUGAUGAGCUUAUGGAAAGGUGUUGUGCCUGACUAGCAAUCAGGGAAAUAUAAAUAAACUCAGGAGCUCAUGGCCCAAGGGGCCAGCAGCAGACUUCCAGCAGGAAACUAUACAGACAUUACUUAGUCAUAGCUGGAAGAAGGGCUCAAGUAAAGGGCUCUGUGCCUGUGACAUCCUCAGAGAGACCAGGGAAAGACCUGUAAACCUUGAGGAAUGUGUGCACAUGAAGAGGCCCACAGGUCUGGGACGUGGUGGGAGUAUGUUACUGUUCCCAUUCUAGAGACUCAGGGCUGAGAUUCAAGUGUACUGGGUUAUAUUAUACACUUGUCAAGUCACAGCUACAACUUCAUCCAGGAUUCAAAUGUUCUUUUGGAAAAAAAAAAGAAAAAGAACACAAAUACAUAUUUCAGUACUUGCAUCACUUGUAUACACAAGAAAGGAGAAGCAAAGAGGUGACUGAAAGAGGGGGCUGUGUUCUACACACCCAGAAUGACAAGUGCCAUCUCCAAGCCUGAGGGCCCAGGGUGAGCCCCUCAACUCCUGAGAAAGGCUCUGUCCUGGUAUUAGGAAAUUAAAAUGUGCACAUCAGUUGGCUGUCCACAGCGGGCGGGGCCUGCACCUGCCAGAGAGGAAUGUGGACUCUUUGGUUUAAUCCUGGGAAGGGUUCAUGGGGCCCCUGCAGUGAGGGUCAGAGAGGGGCUCAGCACAGUUGUUUUUCCAAGUCAAAAGGAGAGACUGUUGUCUGCUAGGCAUGUUUCAGAGACUUUAGGGGUGCUUCUCUUUCAUGGGAGAAACACUAUUCAGGACUGCCACCCACUUUAUAUUUGGAUCUGUACUCACAGCCAGGUCAGACAUCUCAAAGAUUCUGAAAGGGAGUUGAGAGGGCAGGGUUUCAACUUAAACACACUGGUGGUGCUCCUCUUAGGCAAGAGCUUGGGGCAAGUAUUGUGUUCUAAGAAGCCCCAUUGGGCACUUCAUCUCUGAAGAGCCCAGAGUUUGUCUUUCAUGAAGAUAUAAAAAGAUAGCCCAACUGCAGAACAAACUGAGACCAUGGUGAAUGUGACAAGGGUCAUAUGACCACUUAGACCCUGUGUAGAGGAUACUAGAGCAAUGUCAGGUGUUCUCUUCUGAACCAACCAAUGUCAGUGUACCUGGUCCUGGAGGAAAAGUACUGUUUCCUAGUGACAGUGAAGUCACAUUUUCCUAAAACGAUUCUAGUUUUUGAUGCUUUCAUUCCUUGGCUGCUUCUGUCUUGUCAGAGCCAGAAUCUGGACCUAAGUGUGCAGGGCAGAACAAAACAAUUUUGUUUUCUAGGAAAAUGGGAGGUCUGGAAUGGCGAAUGUAGCCUCAGGCGUGGCAACUGCCCCAGCUGGGACUACCCACUGCCAAGUUUCACCCUCUCUCAAGAGAACCAAAACCAGACUGUACGCAGCAUCUUCCUUCUCAGCCAAAGGGCCUACUCGUUAGGGUGAUUUGCAUUGUACUUAAGCAUUGAAAAAAAAAAAGACUGGAAGGAAAUAGAUCAAAAUGUGGUAUGUUUGCCUGUGGAUUAAAGGACUUCAAAUGAUUUUCAUUUCCUUCCUUAUGGUAUAUGUAUUUUCUAUUUGAAUGAAUGAUACAUUUAGAAGUCAGAAAAACAUUAGUUCAUACAAGCCUCCUGUAUUUGCCUUGCCCUCCUCAUCCUGGGGUUAGCACAAUGCAUCUAAGUGUCCUUACUCAGCCACCUCCUCCAGUCUGUCCUUAAGAUGCCCAAGAGACCCAAUGACACAGAGCUCCUACUUCCCAAGCUCUCCAAGACCUUCCCUUUCCUAGCUCCAUUACUCCUGCAUUGAGCUCCCAGACUUUCCCUCUGCAUACCCGAUCAUCUGAGCAUUCCAAGUCCAACUCUCUGCAAGGCCCCAGGCCACCCUGUUGCCCACUGCCCUCUGCUGAGACUUGCUGGUGUCAGUAACUUCACCCAGCUGCUCACCCCUGCCCUCCUCCUCCUCCUAACUGAUUAUAAUCCUGCCUGAUCUCCCAGAUGUAACCUAAACCACCUUCCUAUGUAAGCUCCCCAAGGCUCUAGAGAUUGCCCCUUCAAUUGCUAUGGGGCUUAUGUGUGCCUGGCCCUCAGCACAGGAACCUUGCUUUCUUCCUCUCCCAUGUCACCUCCGGUGCCUGGCACAGGCAAGUCCCCUGAGCCAGCUCACUCCGAUGGAAUAAACAAGCUGCCUAUGUCCUCCCCUAGCAGAGGCCCUUUCCCUGUCCCCCCUCAAUCAAUUUCCCCGUCUUGGUGGAUUUGCCAAAGCCCUGUGGAUCCUGCACCAUGAAGGAAAAAAAACCCUCCCUAGGGCAUCUGGACAGCUGCAGCCAGGUCCUGCGUGACAUUGCUGAGCUGCAGCCCCACAGCCUGUGCCAGCUGCCCAUGCCCUGUUCACAGACCCUGAGCCAGACCAGACCCAACACCACCUGUGUCUUCACUCAGAGGGGAGAAGUAAGAGACAAGGACAGAAAGUGUAAAAGCUAUUCCCACAACAGCUGCCAGGAACAAGGCGAGAGUGCAGUGUAAAUGUAUAUUCACAGCUGGUACCCAGUUCCGCUUAGGAAAAUACCUUGCUUGAGUGGACACCUGUUGUUUUUGCGAACUCUGCAACCAGGCCUGGCUUCUGGAAAUAGUUCACCGAAUCUUCCUUAAAGGGGUCCUCAUUUCCUACUCCCCAGUGUGUAAGAUUUAGGAAUUCAUUGGCUAUUUCCAAAGGGGGCUUUGUGGCUGGAUCACAACUUCAGAAACAUAGUUGCACUUAUAAAGAUGGCUUGUACUUUGGUUGGGAGCAUUGAGAGCCUAGCCUGAGCCUGUGGCAGAAAUCAUUUGGAAAAAGUCUGGCAUCUUUCUUCUGGUACAUGUAAACUAGUGGACAUCUUACAUUUAUUGGAAAGUGAGUGUUUAAGGACACAGAUGAAUAUAGCUAUGCAUGUAUCUUUAGGCAGAGAGAGGGAAAGAGCACAAAAAGGACAGGGUAGAAGGAGGAGAGAAAGCAUCACCAGACUAGCUCUAGCUGUGUCUGGAACAGCCAGGUUCAGAUUCAUAAACUAGAAAAAUGUCUCAUUGUCCUUAUCUAGAUUGAAAUGGGCUCUGCAGUCUGUUACCAAGAGCACUUAGGAAUAUAAAAAGCUAGGGGUAAGAUAUGAACCUGAGGAGAUAGGUCUGGGGGUAAGUCUAGGUUGCAAAACACAGCAAACAAAACAACAACAAACACCCUAAGACAGUCUUGUUAAGCUUUGCAGAGUAGAAGACAGGAAAGAAGAAGGUUAGCUAGAUAAAUCUGGCCCGAGGCCCCAGUUUCAGCUCUACAUGGGCCAGGAAACUCUGGGAAAGGUGCUUCGUACAGCUGUCCACUGACUUUCUACUGUUAUAAUGCAAACUUCUCUUUAGAGAGCUUCUCUCUCUACCCUGUGUUUGCAGCACUUUAUGGAACAUGCUGUAUUUUGUGUUCAAGCAAAGACUGAGGAUACAUUUAACUUGAGAUGGACAGUGACAUGACAGUUGAAGAUGACCUAUGGAAUCCCAAGAAAUCCUAGGAACAAUGCUAGGCUUUGUGCAACUACAGAGUUCAUAGUGCUGGAGACUUUUCACUGAAUGCCUUUUCUCAUAAUGGAGAUAACAGGCCUAACACAUAAAUCUCAGAGUAAAUGGAAAUGAUUCUGUGGGCCCAAGGGUGGGGUCUGAAUGGUAAGGUGCUAAAGAGGACAGGCAAUGACAGAGCUAGCCCUAAGCAAGCCCAGGAAGCAGAGCAUGAGUAGCACAGCUGCCUGCAGAACAAAAUUAGUCUACCCAGCUUUCCAUGCUGCAAGAAGUCACUGUCCAGGUCUCCCAAGACACAUUUGGAAGGGAAGGUUCCAGGCAGCAAGAGCGGCCCCAGGAAACUUUAAUAUACAAUGGAAUCUGGGUUAAGCACUAUCUUCUCCAAAAGUUGAGCUCACAGGACAUUCCCCAGAAACCUCUGGAGAGGUGGGGAGGAAAGUUUCUGGAGGUCUUUGGACGAAGAAAACAAAAAAGUGGCCUUGAUUUUUCAAGGAGAAAUUACACAGGAAGAAAAAAAUGUUUUUAAUCUAAUUAAGAGCGAUCUUUUCACCUUCAUCACAACAUCACGGAAAUGUGCCAGUUCUUAACUUCACACAAUAAUCAAAGCAAUUAAGGAGAAGCCUUGGAAACUGGUGCAGAUGUUCUCAGAAUGUUUAAUGGGGAAAUGAGUUGCAGGCCUCAUUCUCAGCAUCCGGCUCCAGGCCCUGGCUACCAAAUCCAGACAUCUGCUGGGGCCCCACUCCCAGGCCUGGAGGGUGUGUGCUUGAGAAACACAGGUCUCUUCCCAGGCUGCCUCUAGCGAGGCCAGAUCUGGGGCCCCAGAGGCUCCCCAUGGUUCCUCAAGCCAGAGCCUGGACAUAGUCAGAAUCACCCCAGAGCUAGGGAGAAGCUUAAUGUCAAAAUUAUGUUAACAACUGAUGUCAAAAGUAAUCAACUCAAACUGGCUCCCUCACCCCUGCUGGCUGCAGGAGGACUAUGAGUAGAGGAAGGGGGGGCAAAGAGCCCCUGGCAGGGGCUGGGAGAGACUCUCUUCUUUGACCUCCUCAGCAUGAAGAUCACAUAAAGGUGUGGCAGCAUUGGUGCAGACUGACUCUGUGUGCUUUGGUUCAAUGUUGCCAAGCUAGACCCGAGAAGCAAAUUAGUCCAUCCUUGAGUAAUUUUCAAAAAUCAGAAACCAUGUAGAAAGGAGGGUGCUGCUCACUUAGUAACUAGCCUGUUUUAGAGAGCAGAAGGGCAUAUGACUAAAGUUAAAUGGCUUGAAAGUGAAGACCUUGAUGUAUGGUUCAGGCAGCUCAUUAAACCACACUGGAAGCCCUGCUGUAUGGUACACACAAAGAACAUGGAAGAAAAGAAAACAUCCCUGGUUUUGAGGACACAUAGGCAGUAUGGGUCCUCACACAUGUACGACAUUUACCAUUCAUACUGUCUUCAUACCAAAGGCUUCUUAAUAAAAGAAAUACCAGAUAUGACUCCAGGGCUUUGUUUAAUGCAGGGUAGGCCAAAGGCAAUGGAAAGAAAUCUCUCAAAGUAAGCCUUCAGUGGCAGUCAAUACUCCAGGUCCACAUUACUGGUAGAUCUUUAAGGAGUGUUGUAAGCUGAAUUCCAGCUGUUCACUAAAUAGACCACUUUCUUGGGAAGUAGCUGGCACAAGUUUCCUGUUAUUCUCUGUCCAUAAAUCUAGCCCCAAAAAAGUGAUAGGAAGGGGUUAAAGCCUUUAAGAAUGAAAGUAGCAUGAUGCACUUUUUAUCAAAAGAAUUUUUGGGAUUGCUAUGUAUAGGAUGUAGCAAAGGAAAGCCAGGGAGACUUGGGAGGCCAGUGAAGAGUGAAAGGGACAUCCAAACAAACAAACAGACAAACAGACAAACCCCUAAACAAACAUGGUGGCAUUAGCAGGGGAAGAAGCUAUAGAGACCAAGAGUGGGAAAAGUCUAUAUGUGAAAAAGCAUAAUUUUAAAGAUUUGCAGGAAUGUUUGGAGAAUAACAACAUUCUACUCCCCCACCCCAACCCCUGGACUUCAAAUCUUCUCACUUACUCAAAAAAUCAGAACAAGCAAUUCAACAACAGUAAGAGCAAAAUAAAACCAUAUAUGAUCUAUUCCUUCAACAGUAGGCCAAAUACAUAGAAAUUACCCAUGAGAGGAGAGUCUGCCCACCAUUGUAUACCUGUGAGUGCAAAAGAAGAGGCCUACGAUGCUCUGUCAAAAGAGUGAGGAUGCUAAGUAGUGUCAACAAAAAUAAGGUUCCCCUCUCCACAGAAAUAUUUUUAUAGGAACUCAGAAUUAAUGUCAGUGAUUAAUUCUGGGAAGCAGUCAGUAAUUCACAGCAACCAAGUGAAUAUCACAAAAAGAAAUGGGCAAUUAAAAAGUGUUAGGGGCCCAGCAAGAUGAUUCAGUGGAUAAAGAUUCUUGUUGCCAAGACUAACAACUUUAGUUCAACCACUGGAAAAAACCCAUUUGGUAGAGGAAAGAAAAAGUUUGUGCAAAAAUUACAGGAACUUGGGACAUUUUCACUUGUCCUUAAAUACUCAUCUUCCCUCUACUAAGCCUGGUUUGGUGGCACUGUUGCAGAUGAUAGGUAGUAUGGACCCUGGUCCUUGUUUCUGAAGUGUGCAGUACAGACCUUGUCUAAAAUAAUUAUUUAUGUUUUAAAAUAAUUUUUUUUGUUUUAUAUUGUUUGUGGGUAGCCUGAAAGACUGACUUAAGGUGUUUUCAUUUUCCCCCCAAAUAGUAAUUGCGAAUUUUCUCAGUGUGAAAAAUAGUGGACAGUACUUGCAAACGCUGUAAGACCUUCAGAGCAGUUAUAAUGACUUGAGCAAAGAUCAGUGGUUGAAGCACACAGCGGCCCACUGAAAAGCCUCAGAAGGCAAUCUAGAGAGAGCUUCCUUGGAAUUUUAGAGCAUUUAAAAUAAUAGUAUGUGCUAAUAACUUACAAAACAUGCACAGAGCUAGAUGCUAAGAAGAGCCCUGACAAUACUACAAACCAGUAUCUAUGAUAGAUUUCUAUACAUAAGUUACCUCAAGCUACAAGUGAAAGCAAAGACAGGAUUGUUAAUAGUCUGUCCAAAUAUUGAAGGAAAAUUCCAGUUUAGUUAAUUUACAAAAGCUGGACGAAUCCUGCCCUCCUCUUAUACCUCGCUGUCAUAAUGAACUGAACAUAAAUGAAAGGAACAGAACUUCAAAGACCACACAUAACUUCACAAAAGAAAAAUAGCUUGGGAAUAAAAAAAAAAAGCUUAAAACCACUUAAAUAGCAUUAAAAAAUCUGGAGGCAGAAAAGAAUCUAAUGUCCACAGUUAUAAUAUAAAUAAUUGAAAAUAUAGAGCUUUAAACAAAGAAAAUAUGGACUAUACAGAGAAACAAUAACAAAGUUCCUUCCCACAGAAAGCCGAAAGAAGUAUAGACACACUGUACUUAACUUGACAAAAAAAUAAUUUUUAAUUAGGCUAGGAAUGUUUCAGCUGGAAAAGGGUCUUGAUACUUAAGCCCUGUGACCUAAGUUUGAGCUCCGAUCCCAUAUAAAGGUAUAAGGAAAGAACUACAUAAAAUCAGCCCCUAACCUAGAAAUGGGCACCAUGGCAUGUACAGUAAUCUCAUUGAUAAUAAAAUAAAAUUAGUCUAAUUUAUGCUGAAAGAUAAAAAGAAAAUGAUAAAGAACUAAAGAAAACAAAGAAUAUGAAGAAUGAGAUAAAAUUAGAAAAUGGAAUUAAACAAAUUCUAGAACUGAAAAGUAUUAACAAAUGAAAAAAUCCAUUAGAGGGUUUCAUCAGCAGAACUGAAUGAUAUAAGAAUCAGUGGACUUAAGGAUCAAGUCUGAGCACCAGGGGGGGAAAAUGAGCAUUUCAAGAAUUCUAUGGUAAACUACCAAGUAUGCUAAUAUCUUUGUUGGAAAUCCCAAAAAGUAGGUGAAAGAAGGAGCAGGAAGAAGAAUUGACCUAGUGGCUAUGCCUCCCCAAAUUUGAUUAAAGACAAAAAUUACUAUGUAUAGGAACAUAAGCAAAAGAACCCAGAAAUGAUAACUGAGUCACAGAAAAAUACACUAUCAAUUAUUGAAAGGCAGAACAGACGUUAAAAAGAAAAAAAAGACUUUGCUUGUCAUGUAGUGAUUCUCACUACAAUUAAUGUGUUUGUUAUCAGCAAGUAUAGAGUCGACUGAGAAUGGAAUAGCAUUUUUAAGUACUGAGAGAAAAAAAGUCUGUCAACCAACAAUUUUAUAUACAGCAAAAUUAUUCAAACAUGGAGAAAUAAUGAGCUUAAGAGCUUCUCAAAUGAAUAAAAGCUGGGAAGCUCAUACUAUAUUGGCUCUACAAAAACUAUUAGAGAAAGUAAUACAGUUUCAAAUAAGAAAGGACUAGAAAGUAACUGGAAACCACAUAGAGAUGCCCAGACCUUGAGGACCAGGUAGCUAUGUAAAACAUAAAAGCCAGUAUUAUAUAUAAUAUCUAAGUUUUUAAUGUUUAUUAUUUUUGUGAUAAAAGAACAUGAUAUAUACAUCUGGCAUAUAUAUCAUAUGUCUUUGGAUAUAUUCAUGCAAUAGAUAUAAAAUUUGAAACCAUGUAGAAUUGAAAGAGAUAGAGCUGUAUAGGUUCUUGAAUUAAUUUGUAAAAGUUGGAAGAAUCCUGCCCUCCUUUUUACCUGCUAUAAUGAACUAAACCUUAAUGAACCAAAUCUAAAUGAAAGGAACAAUAUUGAAACUAUGUUGGCAUAAACUCAAUCUAGAAUUUUGUAAAGUUAAGUGUAAUUAAUUCUCAUCAAAAUUAUUCAGAAAACAUCUGGAAAAGUAUAAAUCUCAACAUGUAAACAGCUUAGAAAUUACAGUAUCUCAACAAGUAAAAUGGUGAGUUGACUGAAAAGUCGAUUCCAUUUCUGUAUCAGAAAUGAAAAGAGUAAAACAAUGCCUUCAAAAUGAGGGGGGGGGGUGAUGGGAGAUUGAAGGAGAGAGACAGGUAGACAUGGAGAAUCAGAACAUAUUACAGUAGACAUUGCUGGAAUCAGCUUGGCUAGAAAAAGCUAAUUUGUGAUUUAACUGCUGGAGUUUAGAUGUAGAUAGAUGUAAGAACUAAAAAGUCAAAGGCACUAAGUUUUGGGAAGAGCCUUAACGUUUUCAUGAAGUACUUCAUCCAGGAGUUUGAUCAGAUUCUCAAUGCGAGUAGUAGAGAAAAAUUCCCUUGAAACUUUCAAUAUUGGGAGGGAGGAAAGCCAUUCUGAAAACAAACAAUAGUGUUUUUCGUCAAGGGUUUACCUUCAGGGAAAGUUAGUUUACUAGGUCUUAGCCAGCUAGGAUUUAUCACAAGCUAACUGAACUGACCUAAAGCAAUUCAAAUUAACUCUAGAUUUCUUGUGGAGUAGAAAUAACCAAACACCAGACCAGUUCACUUUAGCCAUCCUAUACCACCCAAGAAAAAUAUUGAAGAAUGGUUGUGACAUUCAGUCAAGAGGCUCAGUAAAAGUGAGACCUAAACACAGAACUAUAGAAUGUUUCUUAUAUACGAAACCUUUCUGUAUUGUUAAUAAUGCCCAUUCAAUAGAAGUUCCUUUUGUCUGAUACAUCAUAUCUGCUGUCCACCUAUUGAAAAAAAUACAAGGAUUCUAAAAGACAUUAACUUUUUAAAACAUAGCAGACAUUUCAGAUAUGUUGAAAUUAUCGGAGAUAUUUGAACUAUAAAUCUAAGGACAACAUCCAAGGACAAUAGCAAGGAAGGAACCAAACUCAUAGGGAAAACACAAAAAGGGCUGGGAACCAGCAAUAGCAAUGUAUGAAAAAUACCCUCUGUAGACUCAUUUGAUUGCACACAGAUGAGAAAAAAAAUCAGAGUAUCUUUUUGUACAAACAACAAAAACUAAAAGACAAAAAUGAACAAAACAGUGAGAAUUUGGCUGAGUUGGUUAAGUGUUUGUCUUAUAUACGUAGGACCUGAGUUUGGCUCCCAAGUAAAAAAGUUAUCUAGUUAUCUCCAUUCCUGGGGCAGCAUUAGAAGACAUGUCAAUCCCUAAGAAUACUAGAAAUAGUCAUAUAGAAGCCAAAAACAAAACAAAAAUAAAAAACAAAUAGAAACCAUUUGAAACAACAGGAACUAAAAAUUUCCCCUAAAUUAUUAUCAUACAUUAAACAGUUCAGGAAGCUGAAAGAAUACCAAACAGGAUUAAUAACAAAACUUGCAUCUAAACAUAUCAUUAUCUACAGAAAAUCAAAUAUUUAAAAAGCCCUACAGGAACACCUACUAUAAAAUAGCAAUAGUACAAACCACAUCCAGUCUGUCCUCAGAAGCAAGAAGAGCGAAAUAACAGAACAAAACAAAUCGCUAUAUAUCAUUCUGCACUCUGCAAUUGUCUUAAGAUUGGCCAGUUAGGUAAGAUUUUGUUCAAAACAUCUAAAAAUGUGUUUAAUUAUGUUUAUGUAUACUUAAUUGAAAUGAAUGGUACCAGUGAUUUAUAGAGGAGUUAAUGGUUACUUUAGGUCAUACAAUGUAUGAAUUGGUAUGGUAUGAUUUGAAAGAGGGCUUAGAUUAGUUGAAAAUGUAUACAAGAUCCAGAGAAAUCACCCCAAAAUAAUGCUAGUAAACAAACUUUUCCAAAAACAGUAUUGCAAAUAUAUAGCAAAACAAGUUUGUAGUUACAGGUUGUAUCUUAGCAGCCUCCUGGGUCCAUUGUACCAGAAUCCCACAUAUAAAUCUCAUGUUUACAGUAGAUUUCAGAUUGGGAAAUCUGUUUUGCAUAGUCAUUGUUAUUUAAUAAGUAUCUUCACCCCAUUUUGUGGCAAUGCUAGUAGAGGAAAGUGAAUUGCUACUGAGCUAUAUCUCAAGACACUACCAUACCUUUCUAAUUGCACAAGCUCUAAUGCCAUCACACCUAAAAGAAGCUCUGAAUUAAAUACAAUAUAGUUCUUAACUCGUAGGUAUUACCUAAGAGACUUAAAGUGAUUUUUGAGCAGGCUAAAACCAACCAGCCACCACUACCACAACAAAAGAUAUCUGCUAACAAGCCAUCAGAUAGGAUAUAUCUAGUAGUAUUCCUGUUGUUGCCAUUGAUAGAAAAACAUAUCUCUCCCAGAACAUGAGAAAUAUGAGAAACAAAUUAGGGUAGGAUAAGGAAGGGAGAGUUGCUAUAUUUUCUUCUUGUUUGGGAGAGAUAGCUAUUUGUCAAAAGAAACCAACAUAAUACUAGAUAGAAACAUACCUCUCCGGAAUUAUAAUCUUGGUAAAGAGAAAAUUGGAAUAGGAAGGUGUGUUGACUUUCUGCAGCACAACUCUGUUUAGGGGAAAUGUCUGUUUGUCUUACCUGGCUUCUUGUAAAAGUAUGGUAGAUAAUAUGGCCCAUGAUAAUCUGAUUUCAAAGUUCCUAUCAAAGUAAGAUCUGCUUAUUCUCUAUAACCCUGUGGAUGAAGCCAUUUCAGAUAAAGAUGAGCAAAGGGUUACUAUGCUUUGAAGAGAAAUUACAGUAUUCAAAGAGAUCUUUAAGCCCAGACAUUGGAUUUACUAGACACAUACUUAAAGCAAUUAUUUUAAAGAGUUAAAUAUAUUGGUAAACAUAAUAAAAAUAUAAGCUACAGACUAGGACAAAACAUUUAAAAAAUAUAUAAGGAGCUUCCCAAAACUUAAAAGGGCUGGGAAUGUAGCCUCACGACAAUAGGGUACUUGUCUAACAUGAACAAAACUUAAAAUUCUAUCCUCAUAAAUUGAAAAAAAUAUGUGUAUGACUGAAUUUUGCUUUCUGAUUUGAAAAACACCCAAACAAUAUGAAGUUAAUGAAUGGCAACUUUACCAAUAUGCAUCAGUUUUGCAGGAGAAACACCUCCAUUUAGCAUAGAUGUUAAAGACCCACAUCUUAAAUCCAAUCUCUAGAAGCACAAUGUUGAUGAAAGAAAGCCAGGCUUCCAAAGAACAUCAUCCCAUGCCUGAGUCAGUUUAGUAAAAUCUACAAAACUGGCCAAUGCAAAAUGAGCUCUAUUGUGAAGGAUAAAAAGACAAUGAAGAACAAGCAAUGGUAAGAUUAUGUUAGAUCAUCAAUUUGAGUACAUUGAUGAGAACUUCAAAACUAUCUAAGAAUGUGCAGUGAGGGGGGUAGGUAUCUUUUUGCCAUAUUCUCAAAUGAAAAAGCUUUAAAAAUGAAACAUUUUAGUUUAAACAUCUUAUUUCUUGAGGGUCUAAAAGACUCUAAAGUUGUCAAUGUUCACUGAAACAAAAAAGAUGGUAAUCACAUGGAAAUGUCUUUUGUAAGAGGUUAAUAUACAGGGUCCUCUUAGUUUUCACAAAGGUAGGAUUUAUGGGCAGGAUGAUAAACUUGUUUUCCUGAUAGACUUUCUUUUCCAGACUUAACAGGCAUAUGAGGAAAAAUGGUACACUGAGGCUAUGUAUAAGAAGAUAAUAGGCAACCUAAACAGAAAGCACCAUGCUUGGAUGGAUUUACUGAUAAAUUCUGACAAAUCUCAACUAUUUAAUGGAAGAAUGUAUACUAAAGGUUCUACAGUGUCUUUUAGAAGGUAGGAAAUAUUGCUUAACUCAUUUGUUGAGACCAAUGUUGCCCUUAUUUCUGUAGCAAACAACACAUUCCAAACAAGCUAAAUACCAGUAACUCAUGCUGUAUGUGUAAAACAAUACACUACGCAACAUUAAUAUGCCAAAUCCAAAAAUAUCACAACUGCUCAGUGCUAUGGGACAUUAAAAACUAAGGUAAGUUAUCACAAGCAUAAAAUAAGUCACAGGAUUAUGUCACCAGACAGAAAUAUACAUCCGACAAAAAUCUUGACCAACCCAUGGUAAAAACAACAACUUUGGAACAUUUAGCCUCAGGUACGUAAUCAUAAGAAGUAAAAAGAACUGUUAUGAUUAUAUCACUGGAUACAUAUGAAUCUGACAAAAUUCUUUACUAACACAUGAUUAAAAAAAGGACCCUUGGAACAUUACCAAAUCAGGUAAGUAAUCACAAGAAGAAAAAAAAAUGUUACAUGACAUGAUUAUAUUUCUGGAUACAAUAAUUCAUCUAGCAAAAUUCUUUACUAACUCAUGAUGUUUAAAAAGCCGUUUGGAACAUUAAAAAGUCAGGUAAGUAAUCACAAGAAGCAAAAAGAAGUUACAUGAUUAUAUUAUUGAAAUGCAUCUGGAAAAAUUCUAUCAAUUUUAAAAAAGCCCUCUAGAUUAUUAAAACCUCAGGUAAGUAAACACAAGAAGCAAAAAGAUGUUACAUGAUUAUAUAACUAGACAAAAAAUUUGACAACAUUCUUUACCAACUCAUGAUCAAAACAAAACAACAAAGAGCCUUAAAAUCUCAGGUAAGUAAUAAGCCAAAAGAAGUUACAUACUUAUUCACUGGAUACACUCAUAAUAAAAGUAACAACAACCAACAACAACUCUACACAUUAAAAACUCAGGAUAGGGUUCACAAGACCCAAGGGGGAAAAAAAAAAAGGUCUGACAACAUUAUUUACUAACUCAUGAUUAAAACAAAACAAACACGAAAACUUCUGGAACAUUAAAUACUCAAGUAAGUGAUCACAAGAAGUAAAAAUAUCACUGGACACAAAAGUGCAUCUGAGAAAAUUCUUUAUUAACUUGUGAUUUAAAAUAAAGAAAAAGAAAAGAAAACCAAACAACUGGGGAUCAUUAAAAACUCAGGUAAGUGAUCAUAAGAAGCAAGAAGCAAGAAAUAAGUUACAGAAAUCUGACAACAUUCUUUACCAAUAAUACCAAACAAAAAAUAAGCACACACAAAACCCUCUAGAAUAUUAAAAACUUCGGUAGCUGAUCACAAGACACAUGAAGCAAAAAAGAUAUUACAUGAAUAUUUCACUACACACAAAAACCUGACAACAUUCUUUACCAACUCAUAAUACAAAACAGAAAAAAAAGCAUACAUAAGACAUCUGGAGCAUCAAAAGCUCAGGUAAAGAUGACAAGAAGCAAAAAGAAGUUACAAGAUUAUAUCACUGGACACAAAAAUGCAUCUACAAAAUUCCCUAUCAACUCAAGAUAAAAGAAAAAAAAAAAACCUAACAACUCUGGACCAUUAAAAACUCAGGUACAUGAUCACAAGACACAAGCAAAAAAGAAAUUACAUGAUUUCACUGACACAAAAAUGCAUCUGACAAAAUUCCUCAUCAACUCAAGAUGGAAGACAAGAAAAACCCAACAACACUGAAACAUUAAAAACUCAGGUAAGUGAUCACAAGACGCACACACACACACACACACACACACCCCGCAGGAAGUUACAUGAUUAUUUCAGUAGACACAGAAACCUCACAUCCCUUAUCAACUCAACAUAAAAAACAGAAACAAAGCAAACACAAAAACCCUCUGAAACAUUAAAAACCAUGGUAAGUAAUCAAAACACACACACACACACACACAAAACAAGAAGUUACAUGAUUAUUUCACUAGACACAGAAACAUGACAACAUUGUUUACCAUCUCAUAAUACAAAACAAAAUAAACACAAAUCCUUUGGAAUAUUAAAAAAUCUCAUGUAAGUGACCACAAGAAGCUUAAAGAAGUUACAUGAUUAUAUCUUUGGACACAUGCAUGCAUCUGAUGAUUUUUUAUCAACUCAUGGAUUUAAAAAAGGGGGAAAAUAAAACCCAACAACUCUGGAACAUAAAAAACAAAAAGUUACAUGAUUAUUUCACUAGACACAGAAAUCUGACAUUUACCAACUCAUAAUACAAAACAGAAGCAAGGGCUAGAAAGAUGGUUCAGUGGUUAAGAGCACUGACUGCUCUUCUAGAGGUCCUGAGUUCAAUUUCCAGCAACCACAUAGUAGUUAUAUAUCCAUCUAUAAUCUGACUCUCUCCUGACGUGUCUGAAGAGAACAACAGUAUGCUGAUAUACAUAAAAUAAAUCUUUUUAAAAACAAGCAAAACACAGAAACCCUCUGGAAACUUAAAAAGGUGAUCACAAGACACAGAUGGGCAAAAUGAAGUUACAUGAUUAUUUCACUAGACACAGAAACCUGACAACAUUAUAAACUCACAAUAUAGGAACAAAACAAACACAAAACUCUGGAACAUUAAAAAACUCAGGUAAGUAAUCACAAGAAGAAAAAAAAGUUACAUAAUUAUUACUGGACACAAGCAUGCAUCCAACAAAAAUUUUUUAUCAACUCAUCUCAAAAACCCCAAGAACAUUGGAAUAUUAAAAGCUUAUAUAAGUGAUCACAAGACCCAAGAAGAAAUAACGAAGUUACAUGAUUACUUCACUAGACACAGAAAUCUGACAACAUUCUUUACCAUCCCAUAAUACAAAACAAACAAAAAGACCACACAAACCCCUGGAACAUUAAAAACUGGUAAGUGAUCAGAAGAGACAAGAAACAGAAAAGAAAUUACAUGAUUAUUUCACUACAUACAGAAACCUGACAACUUUCUUUAUGAACUCAUAAUACAAAGCAAAAAAGGCACACACAAAACAUCUGGAAUAUUAAAAACUCAGGUGAGUGAUCACAAGAAGCAAAAGGAAGUUACAUGAUUAUAUCACUAGACACAAAAGUGCAUCUGACAAAAUUCCCUAUCCAAAAGAAAAAAAAUCAGUAAACACUAUAAGGACGUCAUUAACUUUGUAAAUACCAUUUACCAAAAGUAUAUACUAAAUAUAAUUGACAGGAAAAAAAGGGGAGGUAAGGAUGGUGCCCACUCAUUUUGCAAAAUCUUGUGGAAAACUCCUAAGUAAUGGACCAAAAUAAAGGGAAUAUAUAUAUUGUUUAAAAGGAGCAAAGUUUUGUUUUAAGUGGCAUUAUCUAUGUAGAUAAUAUGAAAGGACACAUAUACAAAUUCUGCAACUAUUAAGGGACCACAGCAAGGUUACAUGACUCAAAAUAUACAAUAAUCAAUUACUUUCCUAUAUGCCCCAAGUUAACGAGUGGAAUUUGAAACAAAGUACAUUAUUGCUUUGGCAUCACCAAAAUAAACAGAUAAAAAUAUGUACAAUAUAUUUUCAAUAUUUAACAUAUUGAAAAAUUCAAUAUUGCCAGAUGUCCAAUAACCCAUGCUGAUCCCCACAUUAAAUGCAACCUUAAGCAAACACAAAUGUUUUAUCAGUAUUGGAAAAUGGACUCUAAGGCUACUGUGGAAGAAAAGGAUAGAAUAUGAAACAUAAUAUUAAAGGAUAAUUUAAAAUUAACCCAUUUUAAUGCAUUGCUGUAAAGCUUUGGGGAUCCAGAAACUAUAUUACUUGUAAAAGAAAAGGUAAGUAAAGAUGAAAGGAAAAGAAAAUAGCAUGUUAAAAUACAAUCUAAGUUCACUCAACUAAUCUGUAGUAAAGGAACAAAAAUAAGAAUGGAGAAAAAUGUUCUUUUUUUUUCAACAAAUGGUGAUAAAAUAAUGAUAGCCACAUGGAAAAUGUAAGAAUCUAGAUACAGACUUUAUACCCAAUAAAUAAAAAAUAAGUUGAGAAUGGAUCGCAGACAUCAAUGUAAAAGUAGAAAAUAGAAAAUAUCUUCACAUAAUACAGAUCUAAAAAAAUUCCAAACCUUGCACUAAAGAACUAAGUCAUUUUGCAUUUGUAGUUUGAUAUUAAGAAAAAAAACAUGUUAAACUGUUGCCACCUCUAUUCAACAUAAUGGUGAAUGGUUUAACUGGAUCAAAUGGAUUAGCUGGACACAUGUAACACAUGUAAAUUGGAAAGGAAGUAAUAAACAAGAUUCCUCAUAAGAUUGUAUAUGGUAAAUUCAGCAGUGCAAAAGAAUAUCAGUACACAAGUUUCAUUUCUAUACAUCAAAAUUGAUAUUUAAGAGUACCAUUGACAUAAUUUCAUUUGAGGCAGCACUAUGUUAUCCACAGCUUUGAUGGCCAGGCUACCUCGUAAUUAUUCUUGAUUUCAUAGAUGAUAAAUCUGAAAAACUAUAUUGUUUUGCCCUUACUACAAUAGGAACCACUGCAUCCAACCAAUUCUUGAUUCUUGCACUUAAAUAGGUCUUAGCUCAUUCAUACCAGAUUGUAAAUGCAAUGGAUGUAUGUCAAAAUUAAGGAACACUGUCCCAAUAUAAUGAGAAAUACUAAAAACCCAAAGAGAGCUGGGAAGAUAUCCAUUUGGUAAAGCAUUUGGCAAAAUGCUUUUAAAGCAUGAGGAUCUGAGGGUGAGCCCUGGAACUCAUGUGAAAAUGUCAUGUAUAUUGGAUGUUUGCAGUCACAGUGAUGGAAUGGAAGGAAGAGAAUCCAAAGAGUUUAGUAAUUUGGCAGUCUGGCCUAUUUGGUCAAGUCGAGACUAUUUCAAUGGAGGUGGAUAGCAUUUCUAGUUAAGAAAGUGGAGGCUGUCCUCUGACUUAGAACACAUGAAUAUGCACAAACAUGCACCUACAUAUAUAUCUUUGUAUAUAAAAGAACAAGGCCAUUAUCAAAGAAAUACAAGUCAUGUUCCAGUAACCGACUCCAAAAAACCAGGCACAUUAACUUAGUGACAAUUUAAAAUGAGUUAAGAAUAGCCAACUAAAAGAGAACUGCGAGAGUACAAUCUGAAAAACAAUACAUGAACAAAUGAGUUUCAAUAAAGCUAUAGAAAGCAAAGCCAAAUUCUGGAGGUGAAGAGUACAGUGAAAGGAAAAUUGUAAGACUGGCUCAAAACAAGAUUUUUCAAUUAAAACUGGAAACCUUGACCUUGAAAAGAACACUUGGACCAAAUGGAUUUAACAGAUCUAUAGAACAUUUUAUCUCAAAACAAAAGAAUAUAUCCUCUCAGCACCUCAUGAACCUUCUCCAAAAUUGGCCAAAUAAUCACACACAAAAAGCCUUAAAGAAUCCAAGAACACUGAAGUGAUUCCAUGCAUUCUAUCAGAUCUCCACAGACUAAGGCUGGACUGAAAUAACAACAAAAACAAUGAAAAUCCCACAUACUCAUGGAAACUGGAUGCUCUAGUCAAUGAUAACUUGGUCCAGGAAAAAAUUUAAAACUUUCUAGAAUUCAAUGAAAAUGAAAGCAUAGCAUACCCAGACUUAAUGGGACACAAUGAAAGCAGUGUUGAGGACAAUAGCACUAAGCGCCUUCAUAAAGAAACUGACCCUAUACUAGCAACUUAUAGCACACUUGAAAGCUCUAAAAUGAAAAGAAGUAAACACAUCCAAAGGGAGUAAAUGGCAAUAAAUAGCCAAACUCAAGAUUGAAAUCAACCUAUUAGAAACAAACAAAAUACAAAAACUCAACAAAACCUAGAGCUGGUUCUUUGAAAAACACCAACAAGGUAGAUAAACCCUUAGCCAAACUAUCUAAAGGGAACAGAGCCAGUAUUCAGUUUAACAAAAUCAAAAAUGUAAAGUGAGACAUUGAGGAAAUUGAAAAAAACAUUAGAUCUUAACUACAAGAGACUUAACAAAACUGGAAAAUCUAGAUGAAAUGGUUGGCUUUCCAGACAGAUACCAUGUACUAAAGUUAAAUCAAGAUCAGGCAAACUAAAACAAGAACAAACAAACAAACAAACAAAAACCAAACAAACAAACUACAAAAAAAAAAACAGCCGAGCGCCAGAUGGUUUUAGUGCAGAAUUCUACCAACAUUAAAAAAUGAGCUAAUACUAAUACUCAAACUAUCCCACACAAUAGAAACAGAAGGAACACUACCUAAUUCAUUCUGCGAAGGCACAGUUACUCUGACACCUAAAUCACACAAAGACCCAACAAAACUUCAGACCAGCUUUGCUUUUGAAUAUUGACACAAAAAUACACAAUAAAAUUCUUGCAAAUUCAAUCCAUAAACAUAUCAAAGCCAUCAUUUACCAGGAUCAAGUAGGCUUCAUCCCAGGGCUUCAGGAAUGGUUCAAUAUAUGAAAAUCCAUAAACAUCAUCCACCAUAUACACAAACAGAAAAAAAACAUGAUUAUCUCAUUAGAUGCUGAAAAAGCCUUUGAUAUUAAAAUUCUUGGAGAGAGCAGGAAUUCAUGGCACAUAUCUAAACAUAAUAAGAGCAAUAAAUAGCAAACUGACAACCAACAUGAAAAUAAAUGGAGAGAAACUUGAAACAAUCCCACUAAAAUCAGGAACAAGUCUUCCCACUCUCUCCCUGUCUUUAAUAUAGUACUCAAAAGUUCUAGCUAGAGUAGUUAGACAACAAAAGAAUCAAGGGGAUAUAAAUUGGAAAGGAAGAAGUCAAGUUAUUACUAUUUGCAGAGAACUCCUACAGCUGAUAAACAACUUCAGCAAAGUGGCUGGAUAUGAAAUUAACAGAAACAAAUCAGUAGCCUUCCUUUAUAUAAAUGAUAGAUGGGCUGAGAAAGAAAUUAGGGAAACAAAACCCUUCACAAUAGCCACACAUAAUAUAUCUUGGUGUAACUUUAACCAAGUGAAAGAUCUGAAUGACAAGAAGGGGAACGGGGAGUGGGAGAGAGGAACCUGAUCUUGUAUUGGGUGAGGGAAAAGGACUGAAGCCCCAAGGACCAGCAGAAAGAAUGUAAACAGGCAUCCUCAGGAAAUAGGAGGUUGGGGGACCCCCCUCCCCAGAACGUACCAUUGACCUGGGAGGUGAAAGACUUCCAGGACUCAAAGUGAGGGACCUUAGAUGAAAUGCCUGACAGUAGAUAGAGGGAACUUAUAAAGCCCAACUCCAGCAGGAAGACAGGACAUCAAGUGAGGGAUGGGAUUUCCAUCCCACAGUCACACAUCUGACCCAAAAUCAUUCCUGUCUGAAAGAAUUACAAGGAUGGAAAUGGAGAGGAGCCUGAGGAAAAGAAGGUCCAUUGACAGGCCCAAAGAGGGAUCCAGCUCACGGGGAGAUCCCAAGGCCUGACACUACUACUAAGGCUAUAGAGUGCUCACAACAAGGGAUCUAUUAUGAAUGCUCUCUGAAAGACCCAAAAAAACAGCUGAAAGAAGCAGAUGCAGAUAGUUGCACCCAACCAAUGGAAAGAAGCAGUUGACCCCUGUUGUUGAAUUAGGGAAGGCUGACAGAAGCUGAGGAGAAGGGUGAUCCUGUAGGAGGACCAGCAGUCUCAAUCUGGACCCCUGAGAUAACCCAAACAUUGGACCACCAAACAGGACAUACCAACUGAUAUGAGGUCCCCAACACACAUACAGGAGAAUUCCGGAUCUGUGUUCAUUCAGAGAUGAUGAACUUAAACCUUAAGAGAGUGGAAGCCUCAGGAAAUUGGGGAUGGAUGGGGGGGUGACAAAUAGAAUAUGGAGUGUAAAAAUUAAUUAAAAAUAAUUUUAAAAAGAACUUCAAGUCCCUAAAGAACAAAGAUGAAAAGAUCUCCUCCCAUGCACAUGGACCCGUGGAUUAACAUAAACAUCUUACCAAAAGUAAGCUACUGUUCAAUGCAAUGCCCAUCAAAGUUCUAAUACAGUUCUUCACAGACAUGGAAAGAGUAACUCUCAACAGAGUUACUCAACAUCAUAUGGACAAACAAAGACCCAGGAUAACAAAAACAGUUCUUAACAGUAAAAGAUCUUCCGGGGGAAAUAAUAAUUCCUGGCCUCAAGCUGUACAAUCAAGCAAUUGUGAUGAAGAUCACGUGGUAUUGGUACAGAGACAGAAGUUGGCCAGUGGAAUAGAAUUGAAGACCCAGAAAUAAACCCACACACCUAUGGACACUUGAUCUUUGAUAAAGAGGGCAUCUGAAAUCAAGAAAAUAGAAAAGUAAAAAGAUCUCCUUGAGGGUUCGUGGAAUGAAAUCAUGAUCAUUAAAUUUUAAAUUUCCCAAUUGUAGAGUUUAAAUAGAAGAGACAGAGAAAGAAAAUUCAUUUGAGUACAUAAACUAUUGAGAACCAGGCCAAUCCAAAGCAUUCUCAGAGGCCCUAAUGAAGGAGAAAAGUAAUCUCUUUAUUCCAAACUUUAAUCUAUCCCCUAUUUUUUGAAAACCUGAUCCUCUCUCUCAAGGUUCUGUUACUGAAGGUUUGCCAGCUAGUCCAUGCCAGUAAAUAAUCAUUGAAAAUUCAGAUAUAUGAACAAAAUGGACAUUCAGGUAUAUGAUAGGUUCAAUACAACAAUGUAGACAACACACAUUAAAGAUUGAAAGAUUAAUUCUAUCAGUGCAUUUCUUAGCAUAUAUCAAAGUAUGAAAUUCACUGGUUAAGUAUAGAGUUAAAACAAAACAACCAGCCAAACAAAAGACAGUCACAAACCUCAUUUUAGAUUUAAGAGCAUAUAGACUGAAAAACAAAAUAGAAACUAGCAAUACAUUACACAUGGAAAACAUGAGUGACAAAAUUAUGAAGAUAUAGUCACUAAUAAUAGAAUCCAUUAAUGGUGAGGUCUAACAUUUGUAACAAUAUCUGUCUUAAAACUUAAAACAUAAACCUGAAAAGAUUAUCCUUUAGCAUUCUCCACUUAUAGUAGUGGAUAACUCAUCUGUACAAAGAAUCACUAGAGAACCAUUUGAGAUAUAUAUCAAUAAAUAAUAAAUAAUCUAAGUUUACAUCUCAUGGAACUAUAAAGGAAAAAACCAAAUCCUACAUGUCAAAGGGAUAAAAAGACAGGCUAGUGCAGGUAUAAAUUAAAGACAAAAAAUUAAUUCACCUUCGAACUCUUUAAUAAUUGAAGAUAGAAUAGUUCUAAACCAAUUAAUCAUUCAGAAAAGGCCAAAGUCAUCAACAGUGUUCCAGUAAAACAAAGUUUCAUGGACUAAUGUCACAUCUACCCCUAUUUUACAAGAGUCUUUUAGCUGUACUACAGAGCAAUUGUGAUAAUUAGUAAUUAUCUUAAGAGAUAAAGAAAUUUUAUGAUAAAAAUAUCAUAUUUAGAGCUGAAAUGUUUUAAUGGAGCACAUGUGUGCAACGCUUACAGUAAAUAUUGAGUAACUGAAUUAUUUUCUUGAACUAAAGUAAGAAAAUGAUACCUAUGGAAUGGGUAAUAUGGCUAGUAGAUAAAAGGCAAUUGCUGCCAAGCCUGAUGACCUAAACUGAAUCCUUGGGACUGCUAUGGUAGAAAUGACUUUUUUAAGUUGUCCCUUUAUGAUCACAUGAGUGUAAAGGCAUUUGCACAUGCAAAUGCAUGAACACAAACAAUAAANNNNNNNNNNNNNNNNNNNNNNNNNNNNNNNNNNNNNNNNNNNNNNNAAUGUAUAUUUGCAAAUGAUAUAAUUGUACAGAAAAAUGUUAUUGCCUAAAGAAUUAUUACAGUCUUCAAAUCAAAGUUCAAUAUAUAAAACACACAAGAAAUAUCUACAUUUCUUUAUAUUAACAGUAAACUACCCAAAAGGGUAAUUAAGAAAGCUCUUAAGAAAAUAGUACCUCAAAUCAGAAAUAAACAUUGAAUAUAUCAGUUAGUUUGGACAAGAGUAUCAUAACCAUUUAUCAACAAAGGUCUGUUAUUUGAACAAAUAGUUUUGGGGAAAAUGGGUAUUAAGAUUUAGGAAAAUGAAUGUAGCACCUUUAAAUUACAGUAUAUAAAAUUAACUUAAAAGGGAUCAAAAAUAUAAAUGUAAGUAUAAAUUUUGAAGAAAAAUUACAUUAUAUGGGGCAUUAAUUUCAUGAAUAUAACACCAAAGGUAUAGACAACAAAAGACUGAACUUCAUGAUAUGUAGGCAUAAGUUUAACCACAGCAGCAAAAUUUUUGUUUACUAAAAAUAAAUACUUAUGAAAAAAUUGAAGAUGACAGUAAUAGAUGUAUAUAUGUUACCUCUUUGUGGAUCCAAAGACUUUCAGCACAUUCAUGCAGCCCAAAGUAAUGUGCAGAUUGAAAAUGAUUUUAUUCUAGUUUUAUGCUUUCUUUAGAUAAGUAAAAUUCUAUAAACAUAUGAAAUCACAAGAAAAGUUGAAUAGCUGAGCAUUUAUGACAUUAAAAAUAGCUGGAACUAUCACCCACCUUGAUUAACCUACUCACAGGGAAAGACCAAUUGUAAGCAAUGCAGAUCCUUAUAUUGACACAUAGACGGACAAUUUACCUUUCACACAGGAAUUAUGAAUAAACGAUGAGAACAGAAUACUCAUCAAAAGAUGGUAUGUAAAUCCUGGAUAUGAAAAUGAAAAAAAUUGAAAUUGGUUCUAUUCCAUAAUCAUAUUAACCCAAAGUAUGUUAAAGAUUUAAUUCUAGAUGAGAACUCCUAGAAUAAACUAAUUUUAACAGUGAUCUUAACAAUUACUUUUUAAGAUACAACAUCAAAUGCCUAGAAAUAAAUACAAAGUUGCUGCCUAUCACAGGUUUGGUAGUAUGAAGGGGAAACAAAAAUAAAAAAGAUAACAUACAUAAUGGAAUAAAAUAUUUCCAAACUACAUCUAAUGUGUUAACAUAUAAACUAUAAAAAUAACAAAUAUUUCAAUAGCAAAUGAUAACAAAAAUUAUCUAAAUAUGACUCAGACAAAAGACAGAGUUAACCAUUUUCCAACAUACACAUACAAAGUAUUAAGAAGAAUACAAGAAGUGCUCAGUAUCACUAUCUGGGGAAUGUAACUCAGAACAAUCAUGAUAAUACCUCAAAUAUUUUAUGAAUUAUUUUUAAAAGUCCAAAAAAUAGUGAAGAUAUGGAAAAAUGAAAAAUCUGAUUCUAUGUUUGAGGUGAAUGUAAAUUGACAUAACAAGAUAUAAAUGUAAUAUAAAAUUGAAUGUAAAUUGGCAUUUGAAAAAAAUUGAAGCACCUAAUACUGUGUCUUUGUGCUCGAGUAGAAUGACAAGUUGUUAUGGUCACCAGCAUUUGUCUCAUACAAGGAACAUGCUAAUGUAACAGUUAACUGUAAAGUUCACUGGCUUUAAAAUACACCUAAAUUUAACAACAAAAGAUUGAAGAUAUAAGCUGAGUGAGACAUCUCAUAAAAAGAAUGUACCUUAAAAUCUACCAAUCAUAGUUCAAUCUUCAGAACACACAGAAAAAGAGAGGAACAAAUCCCAAAAUUUGUCAAAUGACCUCUACAUAUGAGCUAUGGCACACAUGCACCCAUAGUCCAAUAUACACACAAUAAUGACAAUGAUAAUAAUAAACAAAAUAAAACAAUUUCAAUUUUAAAAUGAAAAAUAAGUCAUGGAUGGUUUAAUCAAUGUUUAGAUAACUUGUAAUUUUUAUCAUAACAUUAUUCAUAUUAAUCAAGAUAUAAUACUGUGUCAAAAUGGAUACAAUGGAUAAAAUUAACACAGACAGAAUGUUUAAUCUCAAAGAAGAAGUCAUUUACUUUGUGACAGUAUGGAUGAACUAAGGUUAAACUGUGAAUUAGAAAGAACAAAUACUUCAUGUUCUCACUAUAUGUGUAAUCUAAAAAUGUUAAACUCUAAAAGCUGAAUAUAAGAUUGGUUAGUAAUUUAGACUUGGGUCUUAAAGAAAACAUUGGUUGAAGGAAUUAUACUUAUAAGAUGAACAAAUUCAGCAUUGUAAACCUCAUUCUCUACAAUCUAUAUUUAGAACUUGAUGAAUAUAUCUUAAAUACUUGCAGAACAGCAAUGUAAAAUCUAUGUGGACUGAUACAGUAGUUUCAUUGUAUUAGUAUAUUUAUAAUCAUAAAGUUUCAGAGCGUGUGAAUAGAUAUUGCAAAUUGUGUCUCAAUACAACUAUUAAAACCUCAAAGCAUCAAGGGGUGAAAAAUAUUCAGCAAUUAAAUUAAUUAAGAUGGAGGAGGGUUAUAUACUUAAAACUACAAAUUAUUGCUAAAGAUAAAUAAAAAUAGUCACCAUUCAUAAAGUUGAAGGUAAUAUAUAAAUACUACACAAAGCAUUUUAUGCCCUCAGGGCAUCCAUAAUAAAUAUCCAAAUGUCUACAGAAAUUAGAAAAAUCCAUCAUAAUAUUCACAACCUUUAGAUAAUUACACAAAACUGUUACAUGAUCAUGGUCUUCAAAUUAAGCACAAACAGUGCUGAGGGACUCCAUUUUCUAACAUCAAAUGGUCUUACCAUGUUACCAUUGAGAAAAGUGAAUGAUAGUAAUUUAAAUAAUUUAAAGAUAGACUUACAGAUCAAUGGAACAUAUUAAAAGAGAGAACUCAGAAAUGAUCCUUGGUGUACAUGACAUUUUACAGUGUUGGCCAGACUAAUUUAAAAAGAAAAAGUCAUCUUGACAAUAUAUAGUGCUGGUAAAACUAGACAUCCUUAUGUAAAAGGGUAAAUGUUGGAUCUUUACUAAAAGCAUAUAUAAAAAUUAAUUCAAGGUCUGUCAAAGACCUAAACAUGACCUGAGAAGUAUAGAAUUCAUGGAACUGGCAGUGACUUCUUAGAUGUGAAACUUAAAAAACAAAGAAAAAAGGGGGGAAGAAUAUAGAAAACUCUAUGAGUAUUUUAAAUGUUUGAACAUCAAAACACUAUUUCUCUAUAAAAACCCAACCACAAAGAGUAAAGCAUUUGCAAGUUACAUAUCUGAUAAGGGAUUAAUAUCUGUUAUUUACAGAAAAAUGCAUUACUUAUAUAAGAUCAAUUCAAAGUAGGUAAAAGACCUUGAGAAGUAUCAUAAGAACAAUUAUAAAUGACAUGUAUACACAUAUACUAAUGUGAAUAUCAAUUAUUAAUGAAAUGUACAUCAAAACUCUAAAAACAGGAUCACUGAGAUCGCUCAUCAGGUAAAAGUGCUUGCUGCCAAUUGAUGCAAGACUGAUGAUCUAAUUGUCCUUGAAACCUGUAUGAAGGUGGAUGAAGAGAACUGACUCCAUAGUAUUAUCAUCUGAUCUGCAUAUAUACCAUAUGCAAUGUGAACUGCCCCCACAUCUAACUAUAAUUAAAUAUACCUCACAAUCACAUACCAUUUCAUGAGAGAGAGAGAGAAAGAAAGAGAGCAGAGAAGAGCUUCAUCAAGACAUAUUACAAUAAAAAAGUCUAAAAAGAAAAGUGAUAAGUCAUUUAUACUAUUAUGGACUACAGUAGAUUUCAAAGAUGAAAUUCUACAGGCUAUGAGGUGAUGAAGUAAGAUAUUCCAAGUUCAGAAGCAAAGCAAAUUCCAACCAUUAAGUUCAAGGGCAUUGUUAGAAAUGAAGGAGAAACAAUGCCCAUUUAAAACAAGCAAAAUCUGAGGGAAUCCCUAAGCAAUAGACCAGCAAGCAUUAUAAAACCACAAAAAUGAGAGACAAGAAAAGUACUCAACUAAAAGACAGCAAAAUCAUGAAGACAUCAGUUAUCCAUAAGAACCUUUGAUAUAUAUAAGAUACUUCAAAUUCUGUAGCCAUGGUAGCACACACCUUUAACCCUAGCACUCAGCAGGCAGAAGCAUAUAGAUCUCUAUGAAUUUGAGUUCAGUCUCGUCUACAUAACAAGUUUUAGGACAGCAAGGACUACUUGGAGCAACCUUGCCUACAAUGUGUGAUAUCUACAAAAAAUAUGAGAUGGUACUAUAGACAAAUGGUCAAGAUGAUUAUUUCAAAACUAUAUUUGCUCAUUAUUGGAGCAUAUAGUUUUAUAAAACAACAUCAGACAGAAGCAUAUGUGAGAGUUGUCAUCAUCAUACUGUGUCAAUGGGUUAUCCAGACUCUCCCUUUCAAAAAAGGCAAAAAUCAAUGAAAUCAGACUCCCUUAAAGAAAUACAGAAGAACAAAGGUAAACAUCUAGAAGCCCUGAAAGAGGUAACACAAAACAAUCCAGGAUCUAAAAAUGGAAGUAGAAACAAAGAAGAAAUCACAAAGGGAGACAACCCUGGAGAUUCAAAACCUAGGAAAGUGAUCAGAUGGUGAAAGGCAAAUACAAGAAUCUUACCAACAGAAACCAAGACUACUUGGCAUCAUCAGAACCUAGUACUCCCACAUCAGUGAGUCCUGGAUACCCCAACACACCCAAAAAGCAAGAUUUGGAUUUAAAAUCAUAUCUCAUGAUGCUGGUAGAGGAUUUUUAGAAAGGACAUUAAUAACUCCCUUAAAGAAAUACAGGAGAACACAGCUAGACAGGUAAAAGUCCUUAAGAGGAAACACAAAAAUCCCUUAAAGAUUACAAGAAAACACAACCAAACAGGUGAAUUGAACAGAACCACCCAGGAUCUAAAAAUGGAAGUAGAAACAAUAAGGAAAUCACAAAGGGAGACAACACAGUAGAUAGAAAUCCUAGGAAAAAUCAGGAGUCAUAAAUGCAAGCAUAACUAACAGAAUACAAGAGAUGAAAGAGAAAAUCUCAGAUACAGAAGAUUCCAUAGAAAACAUGGGCACAACAAUAAAAAUGAAAAAUGGAAAAAGAUCCUAACUCAAAACAUCCAGGAAAUCCAGGUCACAAUGAGAAGAACAAACCAAAAGAUAAUAGGUAUAGGUGAGAAUGAAGAUUAUUGACUUAAAGGGCCAGCAAAUAUCUUCAACAAAAUUAUAGAAGAAAACUUCCCAAACCUAAAGAAAGUGAUGCCCAUGAACAUACAAGAANNNNNNNNNNNNNNNNNNNNNNNNNNAAAGGGCCAGCAAAUAUCUUCAACAAAAUUAUAGAAGAAAACUUCCCAAACCUAAAGAAAGUGAUGCCCAUGAACAUACAAGAAGCUUACAGAACUCCAAAUAGCUUGGACCAGAAAAGAAAUUCUGCCUGACACAUAAUAAUCAAAACACCUAGGGAAAAAGAUCAAGUAACAUAUAAAGGGAGCCCUAUUAGAAUUACACCAGAUUUCUCACCAUAGACUAUGAAAGGCAGAAGAUACUGGACAGAUGUUAUAGAGAUACUAAGAGAACACAAAUGCCAGCCCAGGCUACUAUACCCAGCAAAACUCUCAAUUACCAUCGAUGAAGAAACAAAGUAUUCCAUGGAAAAACCAAAUUCACACAAUAUCUUUACAUAAAUAUAGCACUUUAAAGAAUAAUAAAGGGAAAACUCCAACUCAAGGAGGGAAACUAUACCCUAGAAAAAGCAAGAAAGUAAUCCUUCAACAAACCUAAAAGAAGAUAGCCAUACGAACAGAAUCCCAACUCUAACAACAAAAAUAACAGGAAGAAACAAUUACUUUUCUUUAAUAUCUUUUAAUAUCAAUGGAUUCAAUUCCCCCAAUAAAAAGACAUUGACUAACAGACUGACUACAUAAACUGGACCCAACAUUUUGCUGCUUACAGGAAACCCACCUCAGGGACAAUGAAACUACCUCAAAGUAAAAGGCUGGAAAACAAUUUUCCAAGCAAAUGGUCCCAACAAACAAGCUGAAGUAGCGAUUCUAAUAUUGAAUCGAUUUUCAACCUAAAGCUAUAAAAAAGACAAGGAGGGGCACUUCAUAUUCAUCACAGGAAAAAAAUCUCAAUUCUGAACAUCUAUGCUCCAAAUGCAAGGGCAUCUACAUUAAUUAAAGAAAUUUUAGUAAAGCUCAAAGCACAUAUUACACCUCAAAUAAGUAAUAGUCUGUGACUUGAACACCCUACCCUCAUCAAUGAACAGAUCAUGGAAACACAAACUAAACAGAGACAGAGUGAAUCUAACAGAAGUUAUGAAACAAAUGGAUUUAACAGAUAUAUAGAACAUUUCAUCAUAAAACAAAAGGAUAUACCUUCUUAUUAGCACUUCAUGGCACCUUCUCUAAAACUGACCAUAUCAUCAGACACAAAAAUAUUGAAAUAAUUCCAUGCAUCCUAUCAGAUAACCAUGGAUUAAGGCUGCUCUUCAAUAACAACAUAAAUAAUAGAAAGCCAACAUACAUGUGGAAUCUGAACAACACUCUACUCAAUGAUAACUUGGUCAAGGAUGAAAUAAAGAAAGAAAUUAAAGACUUUUAAUGAAAAUGAAGCCACAACAUACCCAAACUUAUGGGACACAAUGAAAGCAGUCCUAAGAGGAGAACUCAUAGCUCUGCUCUGCGUGCCUCCAAAAAGAUACUGGAGAGAGCAUACACUAGCAGCUUGACAGCACACCUAAAAUCUCUAGAACACAAAAGGGCGCAAAUUCACCCAAGAAAAGUAAAUGGCAGGAAAUAAUGAAACUCAGGGCUAAAAUAAACUAAGUGGAAACGCAAAUAACUAUACAGAGAAUCAACCAAACCAGGAGCUGUUCCUUUCAGAAAAUCAACAAGAUAGAUAAACCAGACUAACUAGGGGACACAGGGACAGUAUCCAAAUGAACAAAUUCAGAAAUGAAAAGGGAGACAUAACAGAAUCUGAGGAAAUAAAAAAGAUCGCCAGAUCCUACUAAAAAAGCCUAUACGCAACAAAACUGGAAAACCUGGAGUUGGGCAUGGUGGCACAUGCCUUUAAUCCCAGCAUUUGGGAGACAGAGGCAGGUGGAUUUCUGAUUUCAAGGCCAGCCUCUUCUACACAGUGAGUUCCAGGACAGCCAGGGCUAUACAGAAAAACCCUGNNNNNNNNNNNNNNNNNNNNNNNNNNNNNNNNNNAAAAAAAAAAAAAAAAAAAAGCCCAGGAUCAGAUGAGUUUAGUUCAGAGUGCUAUAAGACCUUCAAAGAAGACCUAAUUCCAAUUCUCCUCAAGCUUUUCCACAAAAUAGAAACAGAAGGUACUCUACCCAAUUUGUUCUAUGAAGCUACAAUUGCUCUGAUACCUAAAUCACACAAAGAACCAACAAAGAAAGAGAACUUCAGACCAACUUCCCUUAUAUAUUUUGAUGUAAAAAUACUCAAUAAGAUUCUCACAAACAGAAUCCAAGAACACAUCAAAAUGAUCAUCCAUCACAAUCAAGUAGGCUUCAUCCCAGGGAUGCAGGGAUGGUUUAAUAUACAGAAAUCUAUCCAUGUAAUGCACUAUAUAAACAAAUUCAAAGACAAAAAACACAUGAUCACCUCAUUAGAUGCUGAGAAAGCAUUUGACAAAAUCCAACACCCCUUCAUGAUAAGAUUCUUGGAAAGAUCAAGAAUUCAAGGCCCAUACCUAAACAUAAUAAAAGCAAUAUACAGCAAACCAGAAGUCAACAUCAAACUAAAUGGAGAAAAACACAAAGCAAUUCCACUAAAAUCAAGGAGUAGAGAAGGCUGCCCCACUGUCUCCCUACCUUUUCAAUAUAGUACUUGAAGUCCUAGACAGAGCAAUUAGACAACAAAAGGAGAUCAAGGGGAUACAAAUUGGAAGGUAGAAGUCAAAAUAUCACUAUUUGGAGAUGAUAUGAAAGUAUUUAUGUGUGUGUGUGAGUAUAUAUAUUAAAAAAAAAUUUUACCAGAGAACUAAACCUGAUUAACAACUUCAGUGAAGUAGCUGGAUAUAAAAUUAACUCAAACAAAUCUUUCUCUACACAAAGGAAAAAUGGGCUGAGAAAGAAAUUAGGGAAGCAACACCCUUCACAAUAGUCACAAAUAAUAUAAAAUACCUUGGUGUGACUUUAAGGAAGUGAAAGUUUUGCAUGACAAGAACUUCAGGACACAGCUUCUGGGACAGGCCCUGAUUUGAGCUGCAGACAUCGGGCACCUUCCCUGCCAGAGGAGAGGUGGCCACCCAAGAGGCAUCUGACCACCAGAGCAGGUGAGGGAGCCAUCUUGUGUCCUGGGUCCCUCUGAGACCAGUCUGCACAGAUCUUCUCACGGAAUGCAUAGGGUGAGCAACAGGAUUGCAGAAGCGACACAGCUUCUGGGACAGGCAGAAGUGACAUGGCUUCUGGGACAGACCCCGUUUCAGGCUCCAGACAUCUGGGCACCUUCCCCACCAGAGGAGAGGUGACCACCUGGGAGGGCUCUGACUGCUGGAGCAGGUGAGGGAGCCAUCUUGUGUCCUGGGUCCCUUGGAGACCAGUCUGUGCAGGUGAGUACACAUACUACAGAAGCAACACAUCUUCUGGGACAGGCCCUUUUGGGGGCCUUCAUCUUCAGCCAGAAGGUAGUUCUGAAUGCCAGACCUCUGUGCACCUUCUCUGCAAGAGGAGAGCUUGCCUGCAGAGAGUACUCUGACCAUUGAUACUCAGGAGAGAGCUGGACUGCUGACAGAGGCUAACAGAAUUACAAGAGGAACAGGCUCCAGCCAGAGACAACUAUAACAACACCAGAGAUUACCAGAUGUUGAAAGGCAAACGUAAGAAUCUUACCAACAGAAAUCAUGACCAUUCACCAUCAUCAGAACCCAGCACUCCCACCUCAGCCAGUCCUGGAUAUCCCAACACACAUGAACAGAAAGCAAGAUUCAGAUUAAAAGUCAUAUCUCAUGAUGCUAGUAGAGGACCUUAAGAAGGGCAUUAAUAACUCAAAGAAAUACAGGAGAACCCUGCUAAACAGGUAGAAGUCCUUAAAGAAUUACAGGAAAACACUGCUAAACANNNNNNNNNNNNNNNNNNNAUAGAAUUGAAGACCCAGAAAUGAAAGGAAGACCAAAGUGUGGAUACUUGGAGUUACAGAGACAAAGUUCCGAGCAGAGACUGAAGGAAGGACCAUCCAGAGACUGCCCCACCUGGGGAUCCAUCCCAUAAACACCUACCAAAUCCAGACACUAUUGUGGAUGUCAACAAGAUUUUGCUGACAGGAGCCUGAUAUAUCUGUCUUCUGUGAGGCUCUGCCAGUGCCUGGCAAAUACAGAAGAGAAUGCUCACAGUCAUCCAUUGGACAGAACACCGGGUCCCCAAUGACGGAGCUAGAGAAAGCACCCAAGGAGCUGAAGGGGUCUGCAACCCUAAAGAUGGAACAACAAUAUGAACUAACCAGUACACCCAGAGCUCCCUGGGACUAAACCACCAAUCAAAGAAAACACAUGGUGGGACUCCUGUCUCUAGCUGCAUAUGUAGCAGAGGAUGGACUAGUUGACCAUCAAUGAGAGGAGAGGCCCUUGGUGUUGUGAAGGUUCUAUGCCACAGUAUAGGGGAAUGCCAGGGCCAGGAAGGAGGAGUGGGUGGGUUGGGGAGCAGGGGGAGUGGGGGGAUAGGGAAUUUUCAGAGAGGAAACUAGGAAAGGGGAUACAUUUGAAAUGUAAAUAAAGACAAUAUCUAAUAAAAAGAAUGAUAUCACAGAAAAGAAAUUAAAUUAAUCAAAAUCUUAAAAAAAAAAGAGAGUGGUGAUUCCCAACUUAAAGGGCCAAUAUAUAUCUUCAACAAAAUUAUAGAAGAAAACUUUCCUAAUGUAAAGAAUGAGAUGUUCAUAAACAUAAAAGAAGCCUACAGAACUCCAAAUGCACAAAACAAAGAAAGAAUAUUAAAAGCAGUCAGGGAAGAUGUUAUACANNNNNNNNNNNNNNNNNNNNNNNNNAAGUAACAUAUAAAGGCAGACCUAUCAGAAUUACACCAGACUUCUCAUCAGAGACUAUGAAAGCUAGAAGAUCCUGGGCAGAUGUUAUACAGACCUUAAAAGAUCACAAAUGCCAGCCUGGGCUACUAUACCCAACAAAACUCUCAAUUACCAUAUAUGGAGAAAACAAGAUAUUCCACUACAAAACCAAAUUUACAAAAUUUAUUUCCACAAUUCCAGGUCUACAAAGUAUAAUAGAUGGAAAACUCCAACACAAGGAGGGAAACUACACCCUAGAAAAGCAAGUAAGUAAUCCUCUUUCAACAAACCCAAUAGAAGAUAUCCACACAAACAUAAAAAUAAUAUCAAAAGCAAAAGCAAGCAACAAUCACUAUUCUUUAAUAUCUUUUAACAUCAAUGGACUCAAUUCCCCAAUAAAAAGACAUAGAUUAACAGACUGGUUACAUAAACAGGACACAGCAUUUUGAUGCAUACAAGAAAUGCACCUCAAUGUCAAAGACAGUCAUUACCUCAGAGUAAAGGGCUGGAAAGUGAUUUUCCAUGCAAAUGGUCCCAAGAAACAAGCUGGAGUAGCCAUCCUAAUAUAGAAUAAAGUCAACUUUCAACCAAAAGUUAUCAAAAAGGAUAAGGAAGGAUACUUCAUACUCAUCAAAGAAAAAUCUACCAAGAAGAACUUUAAAUUCUGAACAUCUAUGCUCCAAAUGCAAGAACACCCACAUUCAAAAAGAAACUUUACUAAAGCUCAAAGCACACAUUGUACCUCACACAAUAAUAGUGGGAGAUUUCAACACCCUACUCUCAUCAAUGGAUAGAUCAUGGAAACACAAACUAAAAAGGGACAGAGUGAAACUAACAGAAGCUAUGAAACAGAUGUAUUUAACAGAUAUCUAUUGAACAUUUCAUCAUAAAACAAGAGGAUAUACCUUUUUCUCAGCACCACAUGGCACCUUCUCCAAAACUGACCAUAUAAUUGGUCACAAAAAAGGCCUCAACAGAUACAAAAAUAUUGAAAUAAUCCCAUGCUUCCUAUCAGAUCACCACAGACUAAGGCUGGUCUUCAAUAGCAACAAAAACAGAAAGCCCACAUACACGUGGAAGCUGACCAACACCCUACUCAAUGAUAACUUGGCCAAGGAAGAAAUAAAGAAAUUAAAGAAUUUUUAGAACUUAAUGAAAAUGAAGCCACAACAUACCCAGACUUUUGGGACACAAUGAAGGCAGUCCUAAGAGGAAAACUCAUAGCUCUGGGUGCCUCCAAAAAGAAACCAGAGAAAGCAUACACUAGCAGCUUAACAACACACCUGAAAGCUCUAGAACAAAAAGAAGCAAAUACACCCAAGAGAAGUAGAUAGCAGGAAAUAAUGAAACUCAACAAAAUAAAAACAAAAAGAUCUAUACAAAUAAUGAACAAACCAUGAGCGGUUCUUUGCGAAAAUCAAGAUAAACCCUUAGCCAGACUAACCAGAGGAUACGGAGAUAGUAUCCAAAUUAACAAAAUCAGAAAUGAAAAGGGAGACAUAACCACAGAAACCGAGGAAAUUCAAAAAAUCAUCAGAUCCUACCACAAAUCCUAUACUCAACAAAACUGGAAAACCUUGAUGAAAUGGACAAUUUUCUAGACAGAUACCAGGUACCAAUGUUAACUCAGGAUCAGAUAAACCGUCUAUACAGUCUAAUUGUAAUUGGUGGUAAUGUUGCAUAACUAAAGAUCACAAAAUAAUGGGUAAAGAUUCCAUCUAGAAAUCACAUACACAUAAAUUAGACAUUAGUUGAAAGGAAUACUAUACAAUGAAUAGUGUACCAACGAAGGAGAACUAUCUGUGAAUGGGUGAUAUAUUUCUUUUUAAAUAAAUAACUUGAAAUGAUAAGAUGAUUACAUGUAUUUGGAAGAGCCACACAUAAACUCUAAACCAGAAAACAUUACAAUUUGUUACUUACAAGAGUUGGGGCUUAUGAAUAUAGAAGGGAUAUGGGAGGAAAAGGCUUCUCUCAGUAGAUUAUUUUGUGUCUUUUUUUGUUUGUUUUUUGUUUUUUNNNNNNNNNNNNNNGUGUAGCCCUGGCUGUCCUGGAACUCACUUUGUAGACCAGGCUGGCCCCAAACUCAGAAAUCUGCCUGCCUCUGCCUCCCGAGUGCUGGGAUUAAAGGCGUAUACCACCACACCUGGCAUGUGUCAUUUUUGACUUUUGGAAAUAUAUUGAUAUUUUCAAUAUUUUAAUAACAAACAUGUGGGCAGUUUCAAAAGAAACAGUGGGAUAAGAAACACAGGCUAAAGUCUCAGUAGGGUAGCCAUAGUUCUAGGUACUGGGGAAAAGAUUUGUAAGAAUGAUACCUUAGGAGUUCAAGAGCAGUCUGGAUAAUGGCAAACCUCCAUCUCUCUAAACCACUGGCUCUCAAAUUUGAUGUCAUGUCCCCUCUCACAAAGGUCACAUAUCAGAUACCCUGCAUAUCAGAUAUUUACAUUAUGAUUCAUAAUAGUAACAAAAUUACAGUUAUGAAGUAGCAACAAAAAUAAUUUUUAUGACUGGGGAGCACCACAACAUGAACAUCUAUAUUAAAGGGGCACAGCAUUAGGAAUGCUGAGAAUCACCACUCUAUAUGAACAACUAGCAAAUUCUCAUUUUUCUAAAGAAACAAGCAAAUACAGUGUUUAAAUUUUUUACCAUUGUAAAUCUGAACAAGACUGUCAAAAACAGUGAUUUCAGAAAUAUAAAUUAAAGUCACAUAACAAACUGAAGAAAAACAUUAGGGUUGUGGAGCAGAAACAGAGUACUUAUUUCAGUUGUGAGGACCCUAUUUAAUCACAAUUAUUUAAAAAAAAUUACAAAAGUAAAAUCUGAUAAAUCUCCAUAGAAAUUGCAAGGUCUGUGGAAAUUUAACCUAAGGUUGCCUUUCCCAUACCCAGAUGAGUACAAUAGCCUUGAAGACUAGCAUCUUUUCUUCCAAUGAAGAAGCCUAACCUGAUUUGAACUCUAUUGCCAGUCUCAUUCUUUAUGUCAAAAAAUAGUGUCCUCAAGACAUUUACUGGUUAUAGCCACUGUUAUAGCAAUCUGACGCUCUAGCACUGGUUGUUGCACAUAAAUACACACACAAAAAAAGAUAGUGAAUUCUUAGAGAUAAGUAAGAUGGUCUGUACUCUCAAAAAAGACCAGAAGUACUCUCCUUAUCUACACUGCUGAUUGUGAGACACUGUACAGACAAGAUGGUAAAACAAAGGACAGUUGUAAAGAGUCCAAAUGUUGAAUGGAAAUCCUAAGGCAAAGCCCUUUCAGGAAAAUUUGGAAAAUUUACCAGCUUGAGAUACUUAAAACAAGGCCUCUGACUAAUGGUGGCUUAAGCUGAUCAAUUAAAGCAUGCUUUAAAAACAAAGACAGUCGUUUUCUAAAGAGCAAACUUGAAGAUAAAUCAGAUACACACAUUGCCGGGAAAUGCAAACACUAUAGAAGCAAAAUUGGCACAGGCAUGGCAGAAACAAGCAAUUGCCCACGUAGAUGGGAAAAAAUUCAAAUGUAGUGUUCCUAAAAUCAACACAUCAUCCUAAGUGGAGAGGGGGGCUAGAGAGAUUAAAGAUUUGUAAAUAGUAAUGAUCACUGAGAGAACCUAAAUACUAGUUUUAGUAGGUCAAGAUUUCAAAGUAUAAAUAUUCUCACACUAAAAUAAGCCUUGUUUUAAAGAAUAAAAGUAAAACAUUGUGACAAUAACUCAUUAGAUGAAAUGUUAAUAAAGAGAUAUAUUAUAAAGUUCAGUCAGUACAAAUUACAAUAACUUAAAUGAAAACCUUACUUGUAGAGCCAGAUUGCAAGAUAAGCGGGGAGCAGAGAAAAAGAAUCAGUGAAUUUAAAUAUAGAUAUAUAAAGAUUAUUCAGUUUAAAGGACAGAAAAAAAAGAGUAAGGAAGAACACAGAACCUCAGAGAUCUGUUAGCUACCAUAAGAGUAGGUGUUACCACGAAUUUAUAUGUAAAUUGCACCAUGCAAUCCUCUGCUCCAUUGAAACAGAUAUGGUGGUAGAUGCUGAUAACCUCAGUAUUCAAGUGGUGGAAAUAAGAAGGUUUAGAAGCUCAAGGUCAUUUUCAGCUGCAUAGUGAGUAGUUUAGACCACCCUGGGCUACAGGAGACCCUGUCUAUAAACAAACAAAACAAAUACCAGUGCCUGACAUUGUACUUAAUGGUGGAAGAUGAAAUGCUUUCCCUUCAAAUCAAGAAUAAGUUAACUCAGUAUAAUGGCAUACAAAUAUAAUUCCAUUUCCCCAGAGUAGGGGGAAGAAGAAGAAAGAUAAGUUAGAUGUCAUCUUGGGCUAUAUAGUUGUCUCAAAAAAUAAACCCAGCCACCCCCAAUUGAGUCAAGGGGACCUGUUUUAUCACUUUUAUUAAAUAUUGUGUAGAAGUUCUGAUCAGUUAUACAAGGAAAAGAAACAAGUCUGGAAAAAAGUAAAAUUAUAUUUCUAUAUUUAACCAAAAUCCCAAGAUUGUAAAAUAUAAAGCUCAAUCAUAUUUCUAUGUACCAUGAGGGACUAAUGAAAUGAAGAAAACAAUUCAUUUUAUAAUGUAAAAAUGAAUAAAUCACAGGUAUGAAUGUACUUAAUGCCACAGAAAUACACUUAAAAUUAUUAACUUAUAAAUUAUGUGCUUUUUUUUUUUUACGAAACUAAAAGGAACAAAAUUAAUCGAUCUAUUUUUUAAAGUAUACAAACUAUACUCUAUGAAUGACAGGAUACCACUGAAAGUCUAGAUCUAAAUAAAUUGAUAUAUAGCUUGUGUUUAUGAACUGGAAGACUUGAAGUUAAGAUACAUAUGGUCUUCAAGAUGAUGUAGAGACCUGAUCCUUACCAAAAUAUCAGGUGUCUUUUCUAGAAAAUAACAAGCAAUGUUUAAAAUUAUGUAAGACCCAAAUGACCUACAAUAGUUAAAGCAAUCUCCCAAAUCAGUCAAGUUAAAGGGUUCAUACUUUUCAAUAUGUAGAUUUACUAUAAAAUAACAAGGCACUAUGUAAGCAUCACAUCAAAUAGACAUACAUAAGAGGGGAUAGAAUUAAUAAUCUAUUAAAUAGUUUAUUAAAUACAGAACCAGAUAGCUAUGGUAAAUGGACUUUUAAUAAAGGUGCCACACAAAUAAAUGAGGGAAUGAACAGUGUUUUGGAUGGAUUUUUCUUCAACAGCUGGUUAUAUAUGUAAGGGAAAUAAAGUUGAAUGGUUCCCUGCCACUAUAUGUAAAAGCUUAAAAUCAAUCAAAGACUUAAUAAUAGCAAUUAAAUCUUGCAGAAUUCUUACAAAACAACAUAGAGUCAAAUCUUUGUAACCAAAUGUUUGACGAAAGGUGUUUUGUUUUGCUAUUUUUUUAUAUAAACCAAAAGUAAAAUAAAGAGCUGAUUCACUGGACUUUAUUAAAAAUUUUAAAAAAUUUAUGCUUGGGGGUAUACUACAAAGAAAGUGGAAGCUGUAGAGAUGGCUCAGCGGUUAAGAAUAUUGGCUGCUCUUCCAGAGGACCAUGGUUGAAUUACCAACACCUAUAUGGCAGCUAAAAUAACUUCAGUUCCAGGGGACCCAAUAACCUUACAAAGAUAUAUAUGCAAGCAAAACAUUAAUACACAUAAAAAGGAAUUAUCAAAAAAAUUUAAAGAAAGUAAGAUGGCAAUACAUAGGUGUGAGAAAAUACUCAAAAAUUGUUUGUUGAUAGAAUAUUUGUAGCAGGAUAAAUAUGAUGUAUAUCAAUAUACACACAUAUAUACACACAUAAUUCAAUAUAUACAACACUCAGAACUCAUUGCAAUUCACACACACACACACAUACAGUCCCAAUUAAAAAAAUGAAGAAUCUAUGGCCUGUGAACCUUUAAUCUUAGCACUUCAGAGGCAGACAAGAAGAUCUCUAUGAAUUAAAAAAUAGCUCCAGUAAAGACCAUGUCAAUAGAAUGAGAUAGAUAGCUAUAGAGGGGGCAAAAAACUGAGAAAUCAUAUACUUGACUUAGGCUCUGUAUUCAGAACACAAGAAGAACUUCUUAAAACUUAACAUAAAAGGAAGUUCAGUUGAAAAAUUAGUAAACAAUUUAAAUAAACAGUUCACUGAAUGGAAGAAUGUGGAAAAAAUGAUUCAUUAUUAUUAUCCAUUGGCAAAAUACAAAUUUAAACCACAAUAAAACAUUACUGUGCCAGGCAUGGUAGCAUAUGCCUUUAAUCCCAGCACUCUCCUACACAAAGAAACCCUCUCUCAAAAAACCAAAAAAGAAAAUUUACUGCAUGUUUACCAGAAUUGGUAAAAUGAAAAAUACUGUCAAUAUUAAAUGAUCUAUAGUAAUUCCAAAUUAGGAAUAACUUAGAUGUCUGUGGAUGAGUGAGUGGUUAAAAAUGUGGUUUAUACAUACCAUGAAAUUCUACCCAGCAACAAGUCUGAAUUAACUACUGAUAUAUAAAACAACUUGGAUGAACAUCUAGAGAAUUAUGGUAAAUUCUAAAAAUGGUCAAAUUUCAAAAGAUGUGUUUGAUUCUAUUUAUAUAGCAAUCUCAAAAAAGCAGAUCUAUAGAAUCAAGAACAGAUUAGUGAUUACUGGGAAUUAAGGGAUGGUAGGAGGGAAGACGGUGUGGCUAUAAAAGGACAAACAGGGAUCUUUGUGGUAACGAAUAAUAUUCUGUAUCAUUGAACCAGUGUUUCCAUCCUCCUUAAAUUGCACUACAGUUUUGUUACUACUGGGAAAACUAUAUAUGAGUUUUUCAAACUAUAGAUGAUCUCUUUGUAUUAUUUAUUACAAAUGAAUGUGAAUUUCUAAAAUUAGAUUAAAAGCUUGAAUUUUAGAAGUAUGCAAAAGGAAACCAGUAAGAAAGUGGGCAAGGGGGCUUUCUGCUGAGCUUAAUGACUUGAGUUUGAUCCCCAAGACUCAUAUUAUAGAGGGAGAAAAGAAACUCCCACAAGUUUUCCUCCGUUCUCCAUGCAUGUAUUGUGGUAUGAGUGUGCCAUCUCCUUCCCAUAUCUGUGAAAAAAAUACAACUGUGCAAAGGAUCUAAAUACAUAUACCAGUAAAGAAGACAUGUAACUGACCAAUAAACACAUACAAAAAUAUUUAAUACCAUUUAUAAAGCACAUCAGGACUGAAAUCAGAUAACAAAAUAGGUAGACUUUUUUUUCUCAGCACUUUUUGGACGGAGUAUUAUAGAUGGAAAAUCAUUUUUUGCAGCUAC
ensembl:antisense Kcnq1ot1 KCNQ1 overlapping transcript 1